AAAAUACUCUUAAAUCUUAAUUCUUGGAGUGCACUUCAGUGAUGUUUUUAGAUCUUAGGUCUUUUCAUUAUAAUAACAAAUGGUAAUUAACAAUUGACAUGAGUGAUUAUGUAGAAUUAUUGUUAUCAGGUAGAACAUUGACGUUUACAAAUUAAAUUUGUUAUUGAUUUCGACAUCAUUUUAGUUGAAGUAAAACCACCAACUUCAAGUUCAAGUUCAUUUCUAUCUUUCAUCUCUGGGGAAAAACUUUUCAAUUCAGUUAAAAGGUAUUUUUGUGGAUCAAUUUCAAAAUUCAAGAGUUCAUAUAAAUUUUUUCAAAAUGUUUCAAGAUUUGCAAGUAUUUUUAAUAAUCUAACCAGAGAGUACUAAAAAAAAACCAGAACUAAUCUUCAAAAGCAACUCCAAAACUACUUCUGAGAAGCACCAUUAAUCACAAAAGAGAGAAACUGUUUUACUAAAUCUUUUUCCUUCAUUUUCAUUCCCUUUUUUCAUCAGAAGACAGCUCUCCAUCCAUGGAAACAAAAAUCUCAACAGCCAACUUCUCUCUUCAAACACAGAAACUUCACAAAACAAAGAGAAGAAUACAAACAUAAAGAAUAAAAUCCUAAUCAACUCAAGCAACCAAAGCAGUAGGAAAGUUCAAAGUUUCCACCUUUGUUUUUCCAAACAAACUUUUACAACUUCUAAGCUGUCCAAAUUGGUUGCAAAUCCCAAUUCUUGCCGUUGAAAAACUCAUUGCCAUUGUCUUCUUCAUCUUCUUCCACCUUCUUCCCAUCCUCAACUUAAACUUCCUUAUUCUGAUUCUUAGACAUGAAGGUCUUCUCUUACUGCCAUUACUUGCUUGCUCCAUUAUCUUGUAAAUCAAGAACUGAGCUUGUCUAUGCUUUUUCUCAUCUGGGUCUUCCUUCUCCAUCUUCGAAUAACCACCAUUUCUCCUUACUGUCAUUAAAACACUCAUGUUUUUCCUCUGCUAAAACAGAGCCUUUCAAAAACAGAGGAACUCCUAAACAAAAAUGGUAGGAAGUUCAGUUAGAAUCAAACACAUAGAUUCAUUUCACAAUGGCUAAUCCUUUUAUAUUCAUGAAAAGAAUGAGAGAGAAAGGAAUGUAACUUGCUUUGAUUUGUUAAAUCAAAGAAAAAGUUAAAACAGAGGAAACCGUCCAUGCGUCAUUCUUUUCUCAGCGAAAACCUACUCUUAUUGUUUUAUAAAUGUAUAUUUUAUUAAGGUUUUCUAAGUUUAAUAUUUUUAAGAUAAGACUUGAAUCCUAUGGUGAGAUUAAAUAAAAUCAAAACUCUGUUUAAUUAGAGUUGUGACAAAAUGGAUCGUGUGUAGCUGAAUUAUUGUGGUGCCAUUUUAGAGGUUUCUUCUUGUAAUUCUAUAGUGGUUGAACAAUUUAUUAUAUUAAAUAAGGUUCAACUUUCUUUAAAUAUCUUGAAAGUGUGUGGAGAAUUGAAAAUUAAAAAUAACAAUGUCAACUAUUUAUGGGACUCAAUAAAUAUACAUCCAUAUUUUGAAAUAUAUUCAAAUAAACCAAAACAAAAUAUAUUCUUACUUAUAGAAUUUGAAUACAAAUCUCUUAACCCUUAGUACUUACUAAUGACAAUUGAGUUAUGUUAUUGUUAACACGUAAACUUAUUUGUUUAACUGUUAUCUACAGAAAUAGCAAAGCAGACAAAUAAAAGAAACUACCCAAAUCAAAAUGAUAGUCUGCUAUUUUGGACUGCAAUAUUUAUUUUGUUCAUUUUUUAUCAAUCUCUAAACUAAAAUAAGACAAGAAAAGAAUUUCGAAUGGAGUCAUUGUGUAAAGCAUGUGAUUGAAUAGACAGAAUAAUGAUACUUCUGGAAACACAUAAACUAAUGCAUUAUUUGGUAUAACUCAUGGUUUGGCAUUGAAGAAAAGCAUAUAAUAAACUGAAUAAUUUAUUGUAAGAAACUAUGAACCAGCUGCCAAUAGAGGCAAUAAGUAAGCCAAGCCGUCCGAAUGAAGAGACAAUGAACCCAUGUGGCAAUAUUUAAUUAGCCGAAUUGGUCACCAGCUGGUGAGAUUAAAAAGUCAACAGAUCGGACGUGUGAAGGCUGUCAUGUGUAGAACAGACAGAGACCUGGCCGAUGCCUGCAGGUUUCUUGAAGAGUCAGUAGAACUGUUGAAAAUGUUUGAUAAAUGACUUCUACUUUCAUUUAUUCAGUUUCCAUUGUUAAGACUGAUUCAAUGUGGCUUUCAUGUUUGGAUCAUCUAUCUUCACACUGCUGUGAUAUUACUCCUGCUACAAUUCUAAUGAAUCCGAAUCAUGUUCUAACUUGAUCAUGUUCGCAAAAUCAUUUUUCCAUAUGAUGCUUUGCUACUUACAUCACACCAUUAUGAAAGCGACAAUGAAAAAAGCAAGAAAAAAUGUAAAUAGUGAAACAAUCUAUAUAGAAAUUUACGUGGUUUACUAAUAGUAUAACAACUAUAUUCAUGAGUAGAAGAAAACAACAGUUCAUUAUUAGAGGAAAUUAUUUGUAGCACAGAACGUCUUUAUGUUUAGAAGUUUUAUUUAUAGAGUGCUCUUCUAGAUUCUGGUCAAACUCAUAAAUAAUGCACAAAUGAAAACAAAUUAGAUUUCAAGAACUUUAAUUAUUAAAUAACAGAUUCAAGGUAUUCCGGUACAUAUUUUGAUACUAAAUGACAUUGGAGAUCUCACAUCUCUUCGUAAUUUAUCAUAUUUUUCACUUCAAAUUAAACUAAGGUAAAUGGUUCAAUGUGAAACAAUAUUAGUAUUCUUACCACCCAUCUUAGUAUUAAAGAUAUUGACUUGGAAAUAAAAGUUUAUGCCCCAUGUUCAAUAAGAAUGGAGCAUAGGAUCCUCAACCAUUAAUAUACAUUACUUUUUUCCACAAUGAAUCGUUCACAAUAAGUUCAUGAGGAACAUAAAAAAAUGAAAGUUGACCAAAUGAUAGAGCUUUCAGCAUCAGAUUCCAGACUAGAAUUAUAUAUUUUUGACAAACAAAGCACGCUCUUGGGCUUCGUAUUUUGUAUUUGCUUUUUUCUUCAACCAUGUCAUCUGCAGGCAUGCUUCUUAUUUUUUUCAAAUAAACAACCAAAGUUAGUGAAAGGAUGAUGUCUGUUUGAUGCUUAAGGGCUUAAUGAUAUUAUAUUUACUUCCUAAGGCAUUGACUUUUGAGUAUGUUGAUGCUUGCAAUGACACAGACAAGUAACAUUGGAUCUGUCAAGAAAGAUUAUGUGUUUAUUUCAAUGUACAUGUCAACAUUAUUGUUGAUUAAUAUUUGUUGUAGACUUUAGUAAAGAAGAAGCAUGUUGAUUGUUUUGUUACAAGCCUGUUAGACAGGAUUUGAUUACAAGAUGGCAUCUAGAUUCUUGUAGAAUUGCUUGGAUGGAUAUUGGAUAAUGUUCUGCUCUGUUCAAUUUCUUUAGGGUUUAAAAACACUAGAUUCGUGAAUCCUUUCCAGAUAAAUUGAAUCUAGGCCAGCUAUGUCUUAUCUCUACCCAAUUAAUGACAACCAAUUUGAUAUAUGUAUCAACAAUUUAGUUUUUAAGCGGAGUUUUCAUUUAGUUAAGGUAGAUGAGAUAUGCAUGCAAACUUAGAAGUCAAAUUCCUUGGAGUUGAUGUCAAACCAUAUCUAUCAAAAUGUAAACAAUCUUAAGAGAUGAACAGAUUAUUAGUAAGUGAAAAUUUUAUAUAUGAACAAGUCUGUCUCCCAGACCGAACUGAAGCUAGUAACUGCCUACUACAAGUUGAUUGAACACUCAAAACUAUUUACAUUCUGCUUCUGCUUUUUAGAGGCAGAAGUAUAUAGUCCAAGCAGGAAGAUGAAAGCUUGUGGGACCGAUUGUGCUAAAUAAUCUAAUCUUUCUCAAGAUGAUCUAACCUUUAAAUAUUUCUUGGUUUCAACCUAACCCACUGAUCCUUCAAGUUUCAAGCUCAUGAGUUGGUUCACCUCGGCACCAAAUUCAUCAGGUAGCUCGUUGAAGACAUCACGACAGAAUCCAGAUAUCAUGGCAGCCAUGGCCUUCUCAUAGUCUAUUCCUCUCUGCUGAAAAUAAAACAACUGAUCUUCACCAAUCUUGGAGGUACUGGCUUCAUGUUCAAUGCGAGCUGUGGGAUUCUUCACCUGUUAGAAACGAGAUUCUGAGUUAUUUUGAUGACUAGGAGAAUUUGAGAAGUAAAAUUAGUACAAAUUUUAUAAGGUUUGCUCAUCCCAAGAAUUUCAUCUUCCAGCAGUUUUUGGCUUAUCCCUACAAGGCUAGCCUACACAUAUGUUUUUACUACUAACAAACAUUUUCUCCUUUAUUACAGGCUUCUUUUUUUCCAUUACUGCAAUUUUCGAGUUUCAAAAUCAGUUCACACACCUCUCAACGGAUCAUACUAGGCAAGCAUUUGAUCCAAGAACGAGAAAAAACAACGAUAAUAAGAAGCCCCACAGACCUACACCAAACACAGGGUUCUAGAGUCUAUCUAGAUUCUAUACAAGCACUUCUUCAAAACUGACAAGGAUAAAGAACCCUCUAUUAAAAGAAACAAAUAAAAUAUAAGUAUACCCUCAAUCUCAUAUCAAGUAUAUGUACUCAAAAUUUUCUAAUGAUGAAGAAAACUACGUCAAGAAUGCCAUUUUGAAUAAACAGAGGCAUAUAAGGAUUCAAAAUGAGUUUAAGCUGCCCUUCUGUGUCAAGUCUUUAAGUCGUGCAAUCAAAACAAGCACUUGAUUGAAAAAGAUGGCAGCAAAUGCAUGAAAAGAUUUUCGUUUUCUGGAGAAAUUUCAGAGAAACCUUGCUAUUACUUCCAAAUUGUUUUCUCAUAGAAAGGCAAACUGAUAGAACACUGAUAUAGUGUCUAUGUUUAUGGAUAUCUCAGUGAAAUUACAAUAUGAAACUAUUGAGAUUCAGUACAGAAUGAAUCACGAUUACAAGCUCUCAAUAACAAACAAACAAUAAACAAACCAAGAAUAAUUGAAAUGCUGAUAAGGAGAAAAGGAACCCUAAACCUCUGCCCCUUCCUUUCUUCCAAGGAAUGUUGCACUCUUCACUUAACCAAAAAAUGCACACCCUUCCCUCUUUCCCAUUUGCCCUCUUAUACAACAUAUUUCUAACUAACUGUGGUCCCCUAUCUCCCUCCCUCACUGCCUAAGUUCCCUUCACACGUGCUUCCUCUCUCUUACCCAUUCUGCUAUAUUGUAGAAUAAUAGGAUGUCUAUCACAAACAUUCACUGGUUACUUGUUCGUCGGUGGCUUUAACUUUCAAGAAAAACAGUUGAGAUCAGUUUUAAAAAGGUGAUUUUUUGUUUUUUGGACAAAGGUGCAAGUAGAAUAGGUUAGUGAUGUAGUUAUGAGAGAAGCUUCUGAGAGAUUGCUGUUUCAAAAAGAGUAGUCAAAUGGUCAUUUGAGACUCUUUGAACUGUUGGUAUAGUACAAAAAUCUUGAGAUCAAAUGUUUAGGUUGUAUGGUGUUUUCCAAGACUUGGCCAAUAGGACAAAAACUCAGUUCACCACUUCUCUUUAAACUUCCAAUAUGGGAUUUGAUAUAUAUUCAUAAUGCACAUGCAACACACCAUGCAUAUAAAUGGAUAAGGGGAGCACGAUUGCAGGUUUAAGUCCUUGGGAGCCCUUAUGUAUAUCUUGUAUUUGUGAUUGGACUUUCUAGUCCGAAUUCUAUGAUAGAUAACCCUUAGCACUACUGUGUCUAGUAACCCCACCACCACACACAUACACAAACCCAAGAAGAAAGGGGAAUACAAUACAAUAAAAGAUCAUCAGCCAUCCAGGUACAUAAUGAAACCAAGGGUAACCGUAAACAUUUUUAAUUAAAGAUGUGAAAACAAACGAACCAUAACAUCAAAGGGAAUUACCUGGAUGUAUGGAUAAGUGUUGGCAGCAGCAUUGUCGCCAAUGAGCAUUGAAUCACAUUGUGAUGAGUUUUUAGCAUUGUCUGCUUUGGAUUGAACCUGAACAAGCCCCCUGUAACAGUUCCUUGAGUUUCCAGCAGAAAUUCCUUUUGAGAUAAUUCUACUUCUUGUAUUCUUUCCUUUAUGAAUCAUCUUUGUACCCGUGUCUGCUUGUUGAUAAUUAUUCGUCAGUGCUACUGAAUAGAACUCACCAACAGUAUCAUCUCCCUCCAAAACAACACUGGGAUACUUCCAAGUAAUCGCAGAACCUGUUUCAACUUGUGUCCAAGAUAUCUUAGAACGAUCCCCAGCACACAGGCCACGCUUUGUUACAAAAUUAUACACCCCUCCCUUUCCUUCUUCGUCACCAGCAUACCAGUUCUGAACAGUGGAGUACUUAAUCUGUGCUCCUUCAGCACAAUACAAUUCAACCACCGCAGCAUGAAGCUGAUUUCUAUCAUAGGAAGGCGCUGUACAUCCCUCCAAAUACUCUACAAAACUCCUGUCAUCAGCAACAAUCAAAGUUCUCUCAAAUUGUCCAGUUUCCAAAGCAUUGAUUCGGAAAUAAGUGGAAAUCUGCAUCGGACACUUUGUGUCCUUGGGUAUAUAACAAAACGAUCCAUCACUGAACACCGCCGAGUUCAAUGCAGCAUAAAAGUUGUCCUCGCUCGGCACAACUCUCCCCAAGUACUUUCUAACUAAAUCAGGAUAUUCCUUAAUUGCCUCUGAUAUCGAACAGAAAAUUACACCUGCUUUUUCCAGCGUCUUCCUAUGAGUAGUAGCAAUUGAAACACUAUCUAGAACAGCAUCAACCGCAACAUUAGCUAGACGGUUGCGUUCAUUUAAUGGAACCCCAAGCCUAUCAAAAUACAUAAGCAGCUCCGGGUCCGCCUCAUCAAGGCUAUUCAAAGUGGGUUUCUUCUUAGGGGCAGAAUAAUAACAAACAUCUUGAAAAUCAAUCGGUGGGUAUCGAUUAUCAGACCACGUGGGUUCUUUCAUCUUCAAGAAUUUCUCAAAAGCAUUCAACCGAAACUCAAGCAUCCAAUCGGGUUCUUCUUUUAGGGACGAAAUCAAUCGAAUUGUUUCCUUGGAAAGCCCUUUUGGGAUUGAAAACGAAUCGAUGUCCACAGUAAACCCAAAUUUCCUAUCGUAAUCGCGAUUACGAAGAAUAUCCUGAAUUUUCUCAUCAGUAGUGGUAGAAGACGGAGAAGACUUACCUUGAGAAAUCGGACCGGAGUUGGCAGUUUUGGGAUCGUAUCCAACAUCUGCUCGGACCCUGAAAGGCUUCGACUUGGAAAUCUUCAGGUUAGCGAUUCUGGGACUGUGAAGCUUUGGGAUUGCGUCUUUAUGUAAUUCCCAAGUGGGGUUAUGAGGAAAGCGUGAAAUUCCAUUAGCUAAGAGAGAAGCCAUGGAUGAAAGAUAGAGGGGGAGAGAGAGGAGAGUCGAUGCGCAGCAAAAAUCGGUGGCCUAGGCGAAGCUAAAAAGAGUAAUAUUUUCUGGCCAUAAGUUUUGUUAGAACAUCUUCAACAAAUGGCAAUUGGAAACGAUAUGUCAUGUGGGCAACACGAGCCUUGAGAUUACUGGAUAUCAAUGGCCACACCGAAAGAGAAAGAAAACCCCAAGACGCAAGUACAAUUUUAAAUUAAAAUUUAGUAUCUAUAAUUCUAAAUAUUAUAAUUAAAACUGAUAAGAUUUUUUAUAAGGCAAUUUUACUAUUCUAUUGAUAAAGAUGUUAUCAAAUUAUUGAAUUGAUUUUAUAUAUAGACUUAAAUCUAACUUUCUACCGAAUUAAACCAAUUUUGUAAUUUUAGACUAGAUACAGCAUUGUUUAUGCCUAAAGCUACUAUUCUUGAUUUCAAGAUCAGUAGAUCAGUAAUGUGCAUCAGAGAAUUCUAUUAUACUUAUGUUGACAUUUCAGACAUCUAAAGCUCUGCAUCGAUGUAUCAGAACUAAAAGAACCAAAAGGUUGAUAGCCCGUCUGUUUUUGUUUUUUAAUUUAAUUUAAGAUAAAAUAGGUGAGUUUGUAUCUAAUGCAACUUUAAACAAAAAAAAAAAACUUGUUAUGAAAGUUGUGAAGGAAAAAGAAAAAACUUUAACAAAAUCCAUUUUGUAUUAAAAAAAAGGAAAGAAAACAAAAUGAAUUACCAAACAUAUAUAAAAACAGAAACAAAAAAUUAAAAUAGGGUACCAGACGGGACCUAGAGAAUUGUCCAAUGGUAAAUCAAACAAUAAAAACCAUUACCAUCAAACAUAAAUUAACCGCAACAAAAUCUUACAAACUAAAUAAGGUUGAAAAGUAGUAAUCCUAAGUCAAGACCCACAUGGAAAAGUGUUCAUACCACAGCCAUACAAUUCAAUAAAAUAGGACAAUAUAGUUGUAGCACAAUUUUCACAAGUACUGAAGAAAACAGAAACGGAAAAAACAAAAACAAAACACAACCCCACAGCGGCCAUAAAUUUGCUAGGGAUGAAUUACUUGUCAGUGUUUAAAUCAGUAUAAAAUGCAAUACUCAUAAGCAAAGGCAAAAAGCCUCCAGAUUCUCUCUCAUCAAAAGACCAAAAAUGUAGUGAUAGAAAAUAAACGACACAGAGUCGUAAUAAAACUUCUGCGGGAUAACAUAAUAAUAAAUAAAAAAGAAAAGAUGUCUCAUGUCAUCAAAGAGUUUAGGUAGAACAGAAAAUAGGAAAAGGAUGAGUUCUUCAGAAUGGAUGUAAUGGGAGGGUGAAAUAACUUUGCCAAAAUCUUUAACCAUCAUAUCCCCGGGAGAUUCGGUAGGGGAGCGGCCACGGCAGAGUAAACAAAACUUCAAAUCUACAUGUAUCCUCCUUGCUGCUGCUGCUGCGGUUGUUGUGGGGGAGGCUGCUGGUAAUUUCCAUACCCACCAUAGCCACUGUAGAACAUAUUAGGGUCCUGAGGAGCUGGGGCAUAGCUAUAGUUUUCGUAUCCUUGUCCAUAUCCGUAAUAGCCACCUCCAUUCCAUUGGUUAGGGUCCGCCUGUGGCUAAAAAGAUGAGAAAAUAAUGAACAUUCGGAAAGAACUAUAAUCAAUAACCAUCAACGGACACAAAGAGUACAAUACCACAACCUGUUUAUUUGAAGGACUACGUCCCCAUGAGAGUCUAAUGUUCUGUCCACCAAUUUGUGUUCCAUUCAACACACGUAGCGCUUCCUCAGCACAGUUCCUAAUAACAAAAUUGAAAUAACCAUCAAAUGUGUCCAAGCCAAUUCAGGAGAGAUUAAGAUGUUAGGUUACAUUUGUUAGAACUACCAAGCUGUUUCAUAUUUUUAAAAGAAACAAAAUACAAACCUGUCAGCAAAUUGAACGAAACCACAUCGUUUGCCUACAGGUAUCUUUACAUGCACCAAUUCCCCAUAUUGACCAAAUACUUGUCGCAAGUGUUCGUCUGUCACGUUAGCAUCCAAAUUGCCCACAAAUAUCUGCAAUAGGAUUUCAGAAGUUAGAAAACUCAAAUAAAAUUACAUGACGAAGGAAAAAUAAGGUAAAGAACCCACAGUCGUAUUGUUUGGAUCAUUCUCAUUCUGAGCCCCUUGAGGAUUCUGAUAUGAAGCUGCAAUAGUAAAAAAUCAAACCUAAAUGAACUUGCUCUUUAACUUGAACCAACCAGUUCAGCAGUUGUUAAACACACAAUAUCAAUUAUUCUGCUACAGUCCAAGCUUGCAUAAAUAAUAUACAUCAAUGCAAUAAGCAAUGUGUACUGAGAAAUAAAAAAUAGAAUCCACAAGACCUGCAUAAACACUGUGUGCUCCACUUAUAACAAAUCAAACCUCCAACCAAAUAAUUCCAUAGCUGGUUGGCUUAGAGGGCUGUUGAACUAGGCUCAAUGCCAUAUGUUGCAUGUUCAAAAAAGACUCCAACAACAAAAUUGAAACACAAGCAAAUUUUGAAUUACAGAGUCACACUGUUUUAAAUGGUUCGAUGCAACCUAAAGUCGGCUUCAUUAUAGGGGGAAAAACCAGAGGCAGUAGGUAUAACGGGCAACAUAGAAGUACUCAUAUUGAGAAAUCACGAAGAAUACCAAAAUAACAAGAACUACAAAAGAUAUCCAGAAAAUUACGUACAUAGGAAGUCCAUUUUCACAAACAAAAUUGGGAAAUUUGAAAAAUAUACAUUAGAGCGAUAUUUGUUACAAAAUAGCAUAACUAGAAGACAAGUACCAAUUUCAACGUGUGCCCUAAGAAAUAUAAAACUAGACAAUAUUUCAAAUAGAAGUUUUGACAAUCCAUAAAGGCACAAUCAUAAUUAUCUAAUGAUGAUCACCAUACGGCCAAAAUAUAAAAAAAGAAAAUAAACAUGCUCAUUUCAACAUAGAAUGUAAAUUUGAAAAACAUAGAGAAACACAUUAUUAAAAAAGAAAUUGACAUAAUAAAGCUUUUCAUCAUAAAAAACUAGAUAUCACAACUAGAGUACCUAACUUCAGACUCAAACAACCAUAUUAUGCCAUUCUCAGAAUCCACCGCACCUAACUUGCACAACCAUUCACAUAAAAGUGAUUCACACAACGGAACAGAAUAAAACAAUUAAUAGGAUCCUACUUAAAAGAACAAAGAAAGUAUACCCGAACAUAUCUAUGUCCAAUUCAAAACUUUAGAAGAUGAACGAAAUAUUCUAAAGGAAUGACAAAAUGAAUACCAAGAUACACAACAAAAAACUAGUAAGAAAUAAGACUCCUAAGAACCCUAAUAACACUAAGAAACAUGACUUUGUGCUGACCAAAAUUCUUUUGCAGGUAAUGGGUUGGACACAUAAAUGAGAUCCAAUCAUCAAAUACUGAAAUGAAACAAUAGGAAGGUAAAACCAUAUAACCCUAAAUGCCAGGAGGAGAAGGACAAGCACAACCCUAAGUGGCCAGCAAUAGCCGCAAGACAUACUGAAAUUUCAAUAAUGAAACUGGCUAAAGAACCUGCGUACCCUAAACUUAAUAAAGAAAAAAUAAAAACUUCCAACGGAAUUAAGACUGAAAUACCAGGGAGACAAAAAAAAUACCCAUGCAGAUGAUAGGAAAAGGUAAACGUUGCAGAACUAAAGGUGAAUUAAAAACCGUAGCAUAAAUAUGCCACAUAAAAAAAAAGAGGUAAGACAUUGGCGGGAAAAAAACUGACCUAAAUGGAACAACGUACUAAAGGGUAAGCAUGUCAGCUGAAAUCAGUAGCGGACCCCAAGCUGACAGAGCCUUUUGACACCCUGCUUAAAGAAAAGAGGAGUUUUAUAAGUUUAUUAAUUCUUCUUUAUAGUACUUAAAAUGACCAAAGCUCGAAUUGGAAGUACACGAUGGAAAGGCAUGAAAGGCUACUAUUCUUCCAAGGUAUACGAGAGGGGAAUUAAAAUGCUAGAAACUAGUAAUAAAAGUAACGGAGAGGAGCUAAAUCAGGACAGAAAAUAAGAAUUGUGUCUGGCCAUAAGAAAGCAAAAUGCAUCCAGAAACACAAAUCAGUAAACACAAACGGCACAUCCAUACAAUGAAUGAAUGAUGGACAAGCUAUUCCAUACAAAAUUUGAUGCCCUGUCUUUCAUUUAAAAUGUUCCAGUUUGGGGAGGAAUUCGUAUUUACUUUUCGAGAACUGCUGACCGCCAGAAGUGUUCUUGUUAGCUGCUGGUCCGAUUCGCAUGGGUCUGGAUGAACAGUGAACACCGUUCAUCUCAGUCAUUGCUCGCAUUUGUUCAGACUCGUCCCCAAACUUAACAAAUCCAUAACCCUUAGUGCGUCCAGUGAGCCUAUCAAUCACAACUUUAGCGCCCUUAACUGAGUUAUAGCGUGCCCUAAAUGUUUCUUGUAGCACAUAAUCAGUAACAUCACCAGCCAAAUCUCCCACAAAAAUAGUGUAAUCAGGAGAGUCAUCUUGUCGCUUCUCCCCUGCUGAUGCCCAGUUCAAUCUAAAAUUUUGAGCCCCAUUGGGCAUGGCGGUGCCAUUAUAAGUUUGAAGUACUCUUUCUGCAGCUGGACGAGUUAAAAACUCAAUAAAACCGUAACCCUCGGACUGGCCGGUUUGCUUGUUCCGAAUCACUUUCACAGAGGAAACCUGGAGAGACAAACAAUGUUAAAUCUCAACAGCAAAAAAAAAAACGAAAUUUCGGAACCGCUUCAUAUAUACCAACAUGUGUGUAGACAAAUCUUUAUGCAAUCAACCUAAUAAUCACAAAACUAGAUCUUUUUUUUCCCAACAACAACGAUAAAAAGAAAUAAUAAAGACACACACACACAAGAUCUAAAGUGGGUGGCGUUCUUAGACGUACCUCGCCAGUAUGAGCAAAACAAUUAAAGAUAUAGUUCUCGUCCAUCCAGUACUGCAAGUCUCCGAUCCAGAGGGUACGAACCUCAUCCCCGUUGGCAGACUGAGGGGGUUGGCCCUGUGGGGAACCGGCCUGUGGCUGCUGAGGCCACAUCUGAGGAACAGGCUGAGGUUGGGGCGGCUGAGGGGGCAUCAUCAUGUAAGGAGGUUGCUGUUGUUGGUACUGAGGGGCCUGGUGAGGCAUGUUGUGAGGGGCAACACCAGGUGCAGGCUGCAUGGUAAUGGAGAAAGGGAUAAGAGAAUCUCCUUAGUGAGGAAAGAAGGAGAAAGAAGAAGAGAGUUUUGAGUGUCUCGUCUGGACAAAGAGAGAAACCCUAACCCUAGAAGCCGAUAAUGGGCGAAAAGGGAGGAAACAAAGAGAAGGGGGCCAGUGGGGGAAUCGAUUACAUUUAUCGUUUUAAAAAAGGAAAUAAAAUAAAAAUAAUUUGUUUGGUACGUUUUUACUUAUCCCAAAAACUCACCAAACCUUUCACAUUUGGAUUCACUUAGAACAAAGAAAAUAAAAUGUUUUUCUUUUUUUCUCUACAAAUCGUUAAACAUUUCUAAAUACAUCUGUCAUUUUGUUUUAUGUUUUCUAUUUCUUCUUUUCAAUUUUGAACUCUGCUUUUUAAAAUAUUUGGAAACUUGAAUUCUAUUUUUUGAAAACGGUUUUCCAUUCGUAUUUGUAGAUAAACUAUUUUCGGUCUAUAAAAUCGUCAUAUUUUUUAUUUAAUACUUUUUUUUUCUAAACUACACAGAAAAAUGUAUAUAAACUUUUAAAUGUUUUAGAAAAGGUUCUUAAAACUUUCAAAAAAUAUGUUUAUUGUUAUGAGAUUUGGGUGGAGAAUGAAGAAAGAAGAAAGUAUGAUUACUUAACAAGUUAAUAUCCAUUAAUCAUUAUUGUUACUUUUAAUUAUUAGUUAUAAAUUACUAUUUAGACUUAAUAAACUUCAACAAAUACAUUACUUUAUAUCAUGUUAACUAUUUAAUAUAAGAGAUGGGUCGAAACUGAACCAAAUCCAAGUCAAUAGACCGUAGCUAAUCCUUCACUUGAGGCAUUCGACAUAGAUCCAUUAAUCUAAGAAAAUUCCACAAAUUGUUCUUCAACAAAUCGUGAAUCUAUUCUUCAAGAAAGAGAAUGUGUCAUAUUCAUAUUUGAUUGACCAUCUCUAGCGAACAAAUCAUUUAUUCGUUUUCAACAAGUUCACCAUCUAUUCUUCAAAUGAAUAUAUCUUAUUUUCUUCAACAACUUUGUCGUAUAUGCAUCAUCUACAAAUUGAAAAAUGAACUUUUCAAAUGUUUGAAAACUUCGACUAAUUGAUCGACUUUUCAUCAUAUAAAAACUGAAGACUGAUAUUCUGAAAAUUUUGAAGACUUCAUCAAAUUAAUCGUUUUUUCACCAUCUACAAGUUGAAGAUUGAUCCUAAAAAAGAUCAACAGGUCCAACGACUCAUAAUAGAAGAAGAUCAACAAACUUAAAAAUUGAAUUUUAUAUAUUUAAGAGAACAUACUAGACGGUAAAAAUUAAAUAUUGUAAUAUUUGCAUUUUCACAAAUAAAAUUUAUUUGGUCAAAAUCUCGUGUUAACCCAUAGUUUUUUCUAUAAAAGAGUGACAAUGAUGAUAAUCACAAACGAUAAUGGUAGCAUUAGUGUUUAUCAAUAGGAUGACAACUUAUUUAGACAUGUGCUCUCCUUGUAUUAUAACAUAAUUAAACAACACUAAACAUAAUCACAUGAAUCCUUUUUAGAUCACCGUUGAUUCAUUAUUCGUUGAACAUGAGUAAAACAUGUCUUAUUUUAAUAUAUAAAAAUAAUUAAAUAAGAAAACCACCUACUAAAUUUUACUUUUUGCUCGAGUAACUCGAAUUGAGUCAAGUCAAAUAUUUCAUGGUUGAAUUUUGUUGGAAUUUUUAACUAAAAUUAUUUAGUUUGAAGAAAUCUACAACCCAAUAAAUGAAUAAGCAUACAACACAACUCAAGCCACAAAUACUAAUUCAAAACCAAGCACAUGAAGUCCAAACAGUACCAACCACACACCAAUAUUAGGUCUUCCUAUUAAAUUCAGUAUUAUAAGCUAACUUAUUCCAAUCUCCCACAAUGUCUGGAAAAUAUAUUUUCUCUCUUUGGAGGUGAAGAGAUUUGAAUGAAGAGCCAAUACUUCACAUGAAAGUUCCAUUUUCAUUAAGACUGAUCACUUUUGGAAGAUUUUAGACAUUGUAUCUUUGGCAUUAGUCCAGAAAAGAAUUCAAUUCGCAACAUUAGUCCAAAUCCAUUUAUGUAUUUAUUUAAGGAUGAAAUUUAAACUUAAGCGAACUUGUGUUUAUAAACUCGUAUAAGGCACAAAAUUGAAUCUAGCAAGUUGGAAUUAAUCUAUUAAUGAACUGUUGCAUAAGGCGCAUAAUAGGAUUAAGAAAUUUGGAAUUAAUCUAGUAAUGGCUAACCGAUUUUAAUUAAACAAUGAAUACACCUUCAAUAUUGUACAAGCAAAAGUUGAACAAUUUCAGAAACCAAACGUCUCAAUGGUUCGACGACAAUUCCCAUUGUACAGUAAUACUAUGAAAAAACAUAACAAACAGUUUCAAGCCAGAAAAAGUGAAAUAGGGUAGAGAAACAUCAGCAAGAACAUAAGUAGUAAGUAGUUAACCCACGUACAGCCUUUAACAAGGACUUGAGAAAAUUACAAGAUCAUUCAACUCCUACCAUAAUAGAUAUGAUCAUAUGAAAAGAAACAAAUAACACAACACGCAAAAACCUCUAACGCCAAAUACAACACACAACUGACAUCAAGUCAACGGAGUCAUACAGAAUAUUUGUUUAGAAUAGAUGAGAGAGUAACAUCUCCAAAAUCUUCUACAAAUGACAAGCAGAAGUUUAGGGUCUCAUUCGAAUUGAGAGGUGAGGCAAGAGAAAUAGAACUUGUCAUCUACAUAUAUCCACCUUGUUGCUGUGAUGGCUGCUGUGUUGCUGGUUGCUGGUAGUUCCCAUACCCACCAUAGCCACUGUAGAACAUGUUAGGGUCUUGGGCAGCUGGAGCAUAGCUAUAAUUUUCAUAUCCUUGUCCAUAUCCAUAAUAUCCUCCUCCUCCACCUCCUCCUCCAUUCCAUUGAUUAGGAUCAGCCUGAGGCUGUAAAUUUAAAAUAGAGGUCAAUAAAGCUAAUAUAUUAUUUGCUUUAAUGAAUACAAGAAUACAAGUGAAGCACAAUAAUAGUACCUGUUUGUUAGAAGGACUACGACCCCACGAAAGUCUAAUGUUUUGCCCACCAAUUGGGGUUCCAUUCAAAAUGCGCAAAGCUUCCUCGGCGCAGCUUCUAAAAUAGUAUUAAGGAAAACAAAAUACAAAACUCAUGAGCAAAUGAACACCACAUGAUGGGAAGAAGGGGCGUAGGUGUCAUGAAAGCUUUUGAAAAUACCAACCUGUCUGAAAAUUGAACAAAGCCACAUCGUUUGCCUGCAGGAAUCUUAACAUGCACCAGCUCUCCAUACUGACUGAAUACUUGUCUCAAGUGCUCAUCAGUGACAUUAGAAUCCAAAUUCCCCACGAAUAUCUGAAACAAAAUCAAAUAAUAACUCAUAAAUACGUCCAUGAGAUAAUAUUGCUAUUGAAAAUUAUUGGAGUACCCACAGUUGUAUUAUUUGGAUCGUUCUCAUUCUGUGUGCCUGGAGGAUUCUGGUAUGAAGCUGCAUUUGAAAAUAUUAAACUAAAAUGACAUCUUCUAUCAACAUGAACUAAAAAAAUCCUUAGAUCAUUUUUACCCAAGUCAUUAUCAUGUUGCAUUAUCGUUAUGGUAAAUAAUAGUAAUGAAAAUUAAAACCAAGAUACAUGCAAACUAAAACAUGAUAAAUUCAAAUGACUAGCAAUCAAAAUAUCCAUGAAAAGAGACAUCCAUUCUUUAAAUAGAUGCAGAAUUAUAACAGUCACAUCCUGGCUGUAAUAGCUAAUACCGAACAACGGAAAUAAUUAUAAUUAUAUAUAUUACGGAGGGGGAGGGGACUAAACUCUUAUGGGACCUGAUUUUUUUUUUUAUUCAAAUGAAGAUAACUUGAAAUGGUCUUAAAAUGCAGACAAUGUGCCACAUCGAUAAUUAAUUCUCCCCUAAAAAUUCCCAUCAAACAGAAGCCACCAUAAUGUCGACAUUCCAACUCUUCAAAAUUUCCAUAUUUGAUUAUUGUCUUCUCUAUCAUUCACUGAGGUUUACCUAUUUUACACCUCAAAGAUGUAAGCCUCCUAUAAUUUCAAAAAGGCAUAAGAUUUGAAGAACUUCAAGGCUUUCAGCUCAUAUCAAUACAAAAACAAUAACAUGGAGAUCGGAAUAUGAAGAAUAAAAGAUACUGUGCCAAACAUAAUAAAUGCAAAAUAACCAAGUGAUUCAUCAUGGAGACCAGAUUAAUUGUGAAAAAGCCUACAUAAUAAUACACGAGAAAUUCUGAUCUAAUGAACUAAAAUAAAACAUAUAGCCUCCUCAACUUCUGACUUGAGGCAACCAUAAUGUGACGUAUUGGAAAUUCUGCCACGCACCACUAUUUAGCCAAUCAAUCACAUGAAAUGAUUCACACCAAGAAAUGGUAUGAGCAUUAAAAAAAAAAAAACUAGAAGCCUUUAAAUCAACAAAACCAAUCAAUACAAUCCUAACUACAAGAAAGAUACAUACAGAGCAUACUUGGAUGAAAAUAGACCCACCGCGAUGGAAGAAGAAUAGAAUAUUCCAAAGGAAAGACUUAACGAAAUACAGAGCUACAGAAUGAAAAGCUAGUAAGAAAUGAAAAUUCAGGCAGAUCAAGAAAUGUAUCAAAACCUUUUGUUGAUAGAUGAUUUGUCUACAAAAAGGGAAUCCAACCAUCAAAUAUUGAAAAUAAAACAUAGAGUAAAUCCCAUAAACCCAAAAUAUUAGGAGGUGAAGGACAAGCUCAACCUAUAUGACCUACUGCAGUUGUAGAAGGAAAGUUCAGAACCAAACUAUGUUACUCCAAAUUCCCAGUUGCUGGAAAUUUAAAAAAACCAUCUAGCUAAAGAACCUAAGACAAGUGACCUAAACUUUAAAGAAAAAUAAAGGAAUUAGAAGUGGUAAAAUGCCAGGGAGAGAAAAAAAUACCCAUGCAAAUCAAAGGAAAAACUAAACGUUGCAGAACUAAAGGUGAAUUAAAAACCGCAGCAUAAAUAUGCCACAUAAAAAGAAAGAGGUAAGACAUUGGCGGAAAAAAAACUGACCUAAAUGGAACAACGUAUUAAAGGGUAAGCGUGUCAGCUGAAAUCAGUAGCGGACCCCAAGCUGACAGAGCCUUUUGACACCCUGCUUAAAGAAAAGAGGAGUUUUAUAAGUUUAUUAAUUCUUCUUUAUAGUACUUAAAAUGACCAAAGCUCGAAUUGGAAGUACACGAAGGAAAAGGCAUGAAAGGCUAUUCUUCCAAGGUAUACGAGAGGGGAAUUAAAAUGCUGGAAACUAGAAAUAGAAGUAACGGAGAGGAGCUAAAUCAGGACAGAAAAUAGAAGUUGCAUUGCAUCUUGCCAUAUUGAAAGCAAAAUGAAUCGAAAAACACUAAUCAGUAAGCACAAAUGGGCACAUCCAUAUGAUGAAUGAAUGACUGAGAAGAUAUUCCAAACAAAAUUCAAUGCCUUGUUUUUCAUUUAAAAUUUUCCAGUUUCGGGGGGGGGGAGUUCGUAUUUACUUUUCGAAAACUGCUGACUGCCAGAAGUGUUCUUGUUAGCUGCUGGUCCGAUUCGCAUGGGUCUGGAUGAACAGUGAACACCGUUCAUCUCAGUCAUAGCCCGAAUUUGUUCAGACUCAUCCCCAAACUUUACGAAACCGUAACCCUUAGUACGUCCAGUGAGCCUAUCGAUCACAACUUUAGCACCCUUAACUGAGUUAUACCGUGCCCUAAAUGUUUCUUGUAGCACAUAAUCAGUAACAUCACCAGCCAAAUCUCCCACAAAAAUAGUGUAAUCAGGAGAAUCAUCUUGUCGCUUCUCCCCUGCUGAUGCCCAGUUCAAUCUAAAAUUUUGUGCCCCAUUGGGCAUGGCGGUGCCAUUAUAAGUUUGAAGUACUCUUUCCGCAGCUGGACGAGUUAAAAACUCAAUAAAACCGUAACCCUCGGACUGGCCGGUUUGCUUAUUCCGAAUCACUUUCACGGAGGAAACCUGCAGAUAUAAACAACAUCAAUUAUAAACAAGAAAGAAGAAAGAAGAAAUGGAAACGAUUCUUGUCCACCGAAAUCACAAUGCAGUAACAUGUGUGGGCACAAAUCUUCAAGAACUCAACCUAAUAAUUAUAAAACCAAAUCUUUUCCCAACAACAGCAAUGAAAACAAAUAAUAAAGACAUAUACACAAAAGAUCUAAAAAUGGGUGGCGUUGACUGACGUACCUCGCCAGUAUGAGCAAAACAAUUAAAGAUAUAGUUCUCGUCCAUCCAGUACUGCAAGUCUCCGAUCCAGAGCGUACGAACCUCAUCCCCGUUGGCAGGUUGAGGGGGUUGGCCCUGUGGAGAACCAGCCUGCGGCUGUUGAGGCCACAUCUGAGGAACAGGCUGUGCUUGCGGGGGCUGAGGCUGCAUCAUCAUGUAAGGAGGUUGCUGUUGUUGGUACUGAGGAGCCUGGUGAGGAAUGUUGUGAGGAGCAACACCAGGAGCAGGCUGCAUCGUUAUGGAGAAGGGGAGAAAAGAAAAACAAAUCUCCUUAGGAUGGGGAGACGGAGAAAGAAAAAGAGAGUGGUGGGUGUGUCGUUCGGACAAAGAGAGAAACCCUAACCCUAGAAGCCGAGAAGGAGGCGAAAAGGGAGGAAAGCAAAAGGAAUGGGAUCGGUAGGAAUCGAUUAGAUUUAUCGUUUUUUUUCUUUUCACUUAUCUGAAAGGUUUGAGGCCGUGGUUUUAGAGCAAUGGGCCCCACGUCCAGGGCGAACUUCGUAUUGACGCUCAAAGAAACCAACCAAUCAGAAAACGAGCUCAUGGAUGUGAAGAUGAAACCAACCUCACACGAAUAGUUUGUCUUUCUAUUGAAUUGAGUAUCAUAUAGUAAUAGCAAUAGACUAUGACAUGACUUGUUCAAAUAUCCAACCAUCUCUUCAAAAUAUUCUCAAAAAGUAUAAGAAAAAAAGGGAGUACUCGUCUGCCAUUUGGGACGGGUUUAUCUGGGCUGGCUUCGAGUUUAUUAAAAGGUGCAACUAUAUCGUAAUUCUUAAAAGUCAAGGUCGUGUAUGAAGCUCUUUUUUUCUUUUUAACUUGUGAUUCUGAAAUUUGACUGUUUUGAGAGUGCAACUUAAAUAAUUGACUCAUUCAAUGAUUUUAUUGAAGUAUUUUUUGUUCAUACUCGAGGGUAGGUUUUAAGUGUGAGAGUCACUAAUUACUUGUCAUAUUUGACAUUUUCACAGUUAAAAAAAGAAAGAAAAGAAAGCCCGUUUUCAUCCAUUGUUGUAAACCUUUCUAAAAUUGAUACCAAAAAUUUGAUUUGGAUAUUGUCAUACACCAAGUUGUUGUCACUUUACCGAAAAUGACCUCAAGGGACGCUGCAAGUUGCCGAAAAAAUAUCCAAUGCUUUGUUAUAUUUAGAGGUUGAAAAGGCCUCUUCAAAAUCCUAUAUCCAUUCUCACCACUAACCACCCCCCGCCAAAACAUCCAAAAAUCUUCCUUCCCAUCAACAAUGGAGAUUUCUACCUCUACUCCUCAUCCCCUUCUCUUUCCUUACUACCAUUACUCCAUUCCCCAUAAUUACGUUCACUGGGUUCAAACCUCAGACUCUCAUCUUUUCUCCGCCGAUCUCCCUGGUACUUCCAUUUUCCCCCAUUCAUUUCUACCCCACUUGGUUUUUAUUUAUUUAUUUAUUUUUACGUUCUCGUUCGUUAAUUUUACGUGUAGGUGUUCGGAAGGAGGAGAUAAAAGUGGAGGUUGAAGAUUCGCGGUAUCUGAUCAUUCGGACAGAGGCUGUGAAUGGAGUUACUUCUCCGGCCAAGAGUUUCUCCAGGAAAUUUCGACUUCCGGUUUUGGUUGAUGUAGAUGGAAUUUCGGCUGGGUUUGAGAAUGGGGUUUUGGAGAUCACGGUACCAAGGUCGUCUUUUAGGAGAAGAUCUGUUGUUCAUUCUCCUGACCAACAUCAACUUCUUGCCAGGGCUGCUUGAUCGAUCAAUUUGAAAGCGAGUUUGCUGCCCUCUCUGCUUUCUAUUUUCCAUUUUUUUUCUCUUUUGGUUGGUUGGAAAAUUGGAGAAAUUUGAAGCUCUGUAUUGUUAGUUUGUGAUGAAUAGGAAGAAUUUAUGUAUCAACAAAUUAAAUUGUUGGGUUUACAAGUAGAAGUAAGUGUAGGAUUGGAUUGAUCUGGUUAAAUUUGGACUGCUUGAUGUUUAUUCAAAUAUUUUUAUGAGUUCCAUGUCCACUUGGUUACUUAAUUUUGACAAUAGGGAUCAAGGCAUUAAAUUUAAUGAUAGAACACAACUUCUUAUGUUCAUGAAUUUGAUGGAGCAGCCUUUUUGGAGGGAGAAAACAUGAACUGACCACAUUUUACAUUACCAAUGAGAUGAGUUUUUACAGUCAAAAGAGAGAAAUAGUUAAUGCUUCCACACCACUUUAGUUAUAUAAUAUUAAAUUUUGUUACUGUAGAUUUUGUGUUUUUUAUUUUCUAUAUAAAAAUUACUUCUUUAUAUUCUCCAUUAAGAGUUACGAAGUUCAAAGAUAUGUAAGAUAGAAAAUUAAUAGUUUUUAAGUAGUUUUCAUUCACUAGUAGAUUUCUAAUCAACUUACGUUGUUAGGACUUAAAGAAUCUAUCCAACUUAACUUCUUUAUAACAAAAAUCAAUAUUAGAAAUUAUGAUAUGUAAAUCGUUCUAUUAUAUAUAUUAAAAUUUAGAAAAUUAUUACACACUAUUGAUAAUUUCAAAAGUUUAAGAACUAAACUUGUAAUUUAACAUAUUUUUUGUCUUAUAAAAUUAUGAUGUUACAAAUAUUGCAAUGAUAAAGCUUCAAAUCAUUGUGAAUAUCUUUGACAAGUUGAUAACCACUUGGUUCUUAAAAUGUAAUGCUAUAAACUAUCACAGUAUUUUGAUUUUUUAGACUAAGUCUACGAACGUUUUUGAAAAAUGUAAUUUAAAAAAGGCAAACAUAUAUUUGGAAAAUUUUAAAAUAUUGUAGGAGAGUUGAGAAAAAAAUACAUUUAAAAGAACUGAAUAUUAUUUUUUUUAAAACACUAAAAUAAAACUAUUACGAAGUUUGGGGAUUAUGGUAAAUAAUACAAUUGUUGAAAACAUUUACAAAAUAUAGAAGAAUUUUAGAUUCUAUCAACAAUAUUUAUCUUUAAUAUAUAUAAAGUUUGGUAAAUAUUUUAGUUUAUUUUACUAUAUUUAAAAAUGAGCGAUAUCAAAUUAAAUCUUAAUUGUUAAGUUAGGUUCAAAUUCGUAUUUCAUUUAAAAUGUGAACUAUGUUUAUAUCAAAUAAUUUUUAUUUUGCAAUGGUCUAACAAAUUUACUAUUAUGGGUUAGAUUUCAUACCAACAACACCUGGUUAUAGACGUUAAUAGAAGUUUAUAUUUAGAAAUGCUUUCAUUUAAUAGAUACUUACCGAACACAAACUUCAAGGUGAGAGGAAAAAAGAGGUUAAAAUUGUAAUUUAAAGAAUAUUUAAAUAUAUUGGCAAAUUUUACUAUUUUUGCUGAAAAGAUUUGGAAAAUAUUUUUAUAAAAGAUGUAUAAAAAGCCACAACUUGCCUCUAUUUUAUUGAAACUGAUAACUUUAACAAGAAUCAAUGCCCUUUUGGACUUCAGAAGGCACCAAUUAGCUGCAGCAUCAAAAUCGAAGUCUGAUAUUUUGGAGUCCCAUAAGCCAAUCGACCAUUCAAUCAAAAUUUGCGGUGGGUAUUCCUGAACAAAAAGGCUACAACACGUGGUUUCUUGUAAUUGUGUCUACACAUGCAACCAAUCACAUCACCAUUGUCAAUUAACUGAUAAACAUCUCAAAGACAAAUAAAUCAGUAACACAAUGUUACAAAACAACGCUGUCAAGGAGUGUGGAUUGUGCAUAAAUUAUGCACACCAAGUAUAUUCUUGUUAAUCUGUACACUAUGAUUUGAAUAUACAUCUCUUACUCUCCAUGUUAAGGUUUAGAACUCAAAACUCAUUUCCCACACAACAAAUAUAUGAAUAUUAGUAGUUAGGCUUAGCACAUGGUGACCGUUACCAAUUGUUAGUUGUCAACUUCAGAAGUUCAACAGCUUCUUUCAAUCGUCUCUCUAUAUUCUCUCUCCCAUCAAGACCCCUAGCAGUCCUGCAAUAAGAACAGUGGGAUUGAAAUUUUCAGCACACGGAUAAAAAAGAAAAACAAAAAUAGAAAGGAACUGCAAUGAAUACGCGUCUGAGUCAAAUUCCUUGAGUUUGAGUUUUACCUCUUCUCGUUGUAUGCCUUUCUGGUAAGUUCCUCCGCAAGGCUGCUAAGUCGCUUUAAAUGGCCACUUGACUUGCGCACUGCUUCAAUGCCUUUUUCAUUUCUGCAGAUCAUUUUCAGAACUUCCGAGGCGAUAAAGAAGCCAUCGUCCUUAUUCCUGAAUACAAAUUGUUGACAGAUAACACUUUAGUUAUAAUGAGAAGAACUAAAUUAUUCUUAUCAUGAUGUUCUAAUUUAAAAAAUUAUAUCGACAAACCUUAGGAGCUCCCAGAGAAGAAUUUCUACGGAUCCAUGAGUAUCAAUUAGCACUUCAAUAAGAUGGGGAUAACGUGAUAAAUUUCUUAAAGUAGAGAGCGCGUGCUUCAGGACUUCCUGAUCAGGUAUGCUUCGGCUGACUGACCGAAUGAGCUUCAGCAAAGUGCUAAUAGCUCCAGCACCAACAAGGGUUUCGCAGCAUUUUUGAGAAUGUCCUGUCGCCAUAUCUACAAAAGCAGAUUUGUACAACAAAUAUUUAUUUUCAGUCAAAUGAUAAAUGAUAAGGCAUAUUCAGGAAAAAAGUGAUGAGUGAAAAAACCAUAGAACUUCAUACUUCAUCCAUAAACUGCCAAAUAUAACUACUGGAUAGUCCUUGCUUUUAACACCUUGAAUAUAAAUUUUGUAGUUUAUGGGCCAUACAAAUGCGUAAAACAGAAAUAUAAACUAGAUUAACUGUAUUCCACAUAAGCAAGGACAGCUGCAACAUGCGUAUGGGAUUCAAAUUAUCAUCGACAUAUUACAUACCUAAAGUUGCACAAGUAUGAAGAAUGCCUCGAACACUUCUCAUGCUUAGCAAUUCCGAAAGUGCUACAACUAAUCUGUUUAUAAUACGCUUGCCAUCAUCCACAUUUGCAGCAGAAUUUUGCACUCUCAAGCGCAGGUCUCGUAACUGCCCUUUUGAUCUUUUUCUUGCUAAGUAACCUUUCCAGUGUGACUAUCAAAUUUCAGGAAAGAUAAAAUUUAGAAAAAGGUACACAUCAUUUCAAAAAUUGGAGUGAUCUUUUACAUAGAUUUUGGGUUUCAGAGAACAGUUAGGCCGGUAAAUAGCUAUUCCAAUCCAGUCACGCUUUUGUCACUGACAUUAUUGAGAGAGCAACAUGAAAGUUAAAAUCAAGAUGAUGACCUAAUGUGUGUGAGUGUGUUUAUGUCUUUUUAAUUAUCACUGAUUCAGCACUUUGCCUCACGGCAGCCUCAUACUGCAAGUAGCCCCUUAUUUCUCCAUUGAUUUACCUACUUUUCUUCUUCACAUUUCAAAUCCUUCAUCCCUUCAGCUCAUUGAGUAGAAGAUCGUUUGAGUGCAUUUGAAGCUCCUAGCAUAUGGUUCUUCGAAGAGCAUACACUACAAUAUCUACUCCGAAUCCGAUAGAUUAAUUAGGACAAGUCAUCACAAUGCUAGGAGUGAAGACGGAUCUAGCAACCUCUACAACUUCUCCACUGUCUUAUGAAUUCUUUUGACUGCAUAUAACUGAUAAAAUGUUAAACAAUAUAGAACCAAAACACUUACUUGGAUCAAAACAAUCUGUUGUCUCUCUGUAGCAGCCCUUCGCCUAGAUAUCCACCCUCUGAUAUGAGACUGGAUGACAAUUAUGGACCUUGAUCUUAAUCUAAGCAAUAAAACUCCCUUCCACCACCGUUGCAGUUUUAGAAUUGAACCUAAAACUAGCUUCAACUCAAACAUUUUACAGCUGGAUCUGGAGAAAUUUCCACUGUAAAACGUUGAACGUAGUUCAGAAGCUGCACCUAAACAAUGAAGUGGUGUGAGAAAUGAAAUUAAAACAAUACAAGGCUAUCAUUGUACGUGUAGACUAGACACAAUACCUAAGAGCUUCAUUCGAGUAAUUUGUCCCCUUAUGAGUCGUUGAAUUUCUAUAGCUGCAUGUCUCUGCCUAUGAAAUGCUAUACGACCAAUCAUGCAUCGUGUAGCAGUCUGGAUCUUUAUGACGGACUCUCUCUGCAGCAAAAAUUCUUUCUGUGCCAGCCAACGACGCCAAAAACUCUAUCAAUAAAAAAAUGCACAUCAUUUAUAUAUGUUAAACAUUUCAUAUUUGCAUAGGGAAAAAGAAACACAUUUUAAAUCAUAAAUAGAACUUUCAAGGGUUGAAAUAAAUGGAUCAAGUCUAUCAUGUCAAGAUAGUCAAUCAGAUGUCACUAUAACAAACUUACUUGAACUAGAACAAUGAGACGCCUCUGCCGAUGACCUUCUCUCCUGGCAAUCCAUCCACGAACCAAAGAUUGAAUUACAAUGGCAGAUGUCACAACAUUCUUGUUAUGUGUAUAUUCUUUCUGACAUCUUAACAUACGGAUAUUUUUCUGAAUUACUAUUGUCGCCAUCCUUAGACUUAGAAACUUCCUUCUUAAAAACUUACCACGAAAAUAGCUUUGAAUUUGAAUGGCAGCAAGGUGUUCAUUACAGAAUGCUUCUCUUACCACUACAUCCUUGUUCAAUAUAGGACACUCCUCAGCAACUACUUGAAAUUCAGGUGUUUCUUUUAUUCGAUCAAUAAUGCCGAUUUCUUCAUCUGCAAUUGAAGCUAUGUUUAGAUGAGUUACUGCAGGGCCAUUUCUGUCGAAAGAUGCUACUUCUCUGCUAACUUGGUUUUUUCUAAUCAUCCAAUUCCUCGUUGCUCGUUGAAUACAUAUUGCUGACCUUUGUAAAGUCAAGAGGUCACGUGUGUCUACUGUGAGUGUGCUAUAUCUCCCAACAAUUUCAAGCUGUUUCGGUCUUUCUGUAUCAUCAAUACAACAGUAGCUUUGGUCAUGGUGAAUUUUAAAUAUUCGACCAUCCGAACUACAUAUUUAGAAACAAUCUAACCAAAAACAAAACACCAUACCACACGAAAGUGUACGGGGAGCAUCUGGUUCUGUACAAGCCAAUUUUUGCCUCCUAAUUAACCAUGCUUUGAUAAAUCUUUGUAAGAAGGAAAUUUCAUGCAUCAAAUUAAUAAACUUGCGACGUUCAACCAAUCUCCUGUAAUAUGAUUGAAUAAUUCUAGCAGCAUCUUCUGCAAAAUUUAACAGAAGAAUUCCCGUGACCACAAAAACAAAAAUAGAAGUACAAUUCUUAUGUCAAGUCAAUCACCACUUUCCUUCUUGUUGCAUUUUCAUUCUAAAAACUUUCAGAAGGUUCUUUUUUAAACUCAGACUUAAAAUAAUUAACUGAACAAUUGUGUCACAUCAUAUUCAUUUGUGUUUUUUGUAAUGUGUAUCUAGCAUGUAUUUAAACGUUGAAAUAUAAGAACCAAAUAAAAGGAAUGUUGAAUUUCAGUGAAGAAAUAAGAUUAACCUCGUAAUAAAUAAAUAAAAAAUGAGGAAGAAAUGAUAAUUAGCAUCCUAUGUUCAGAGAACUGUUUAAAGCAGUCACGCACGGUCCUAGUUCCAAUAGAAACAUAAGCAUCACUGUUUAAUGAAACGAAAGAGUUAAGGAAAAGAAAAAAUAUAUAUAAUGAUACCAGACCAGUUCAAUUUUCUGAAAUCAAUGAACAUUUAAAGAUUAAGAAUCCAUCAGUCAACGAAGAAGACAAUUGAUUGACUAAAAAAAAGUAUGAGUUAACUGAAUUACAAUCAAGUAACAAAUAUUGAUCGAUAGGUAACAUCCCAAUUCCCAAUUACCUCUUUGCUUCUUGUUCCUCUGUUUUCCUGAUGGAAGGAAUAAUGAAGUGGCGUCUGGCUUUGAAAAGGAUCUCUUGUUCUGUUCAACCAUAUCCUGCCACCAUGCACGAAUAGUCUUGAACUUUUUGGCACCAUCUGUUUCUGAAGGGAACACCAAAAUUUUAAGGCAAAAAAGAGUAUGCUCAAAAGCACUGAUUUCAUGCCAAUGUUAUCCUUCCUUAAAGAGCGAGAAUGGAUCAAAUUGAAAAACAUGUAAAUGAAUUAUGCAACAUGUACCAAGUCAAGUGCAUGUACAUAUAUGUCACUAAAAGAAGCAAAAUAUUCACUUCGUAAACAUGAAAUCAGAGUGAAAGAAGAAACCUCCAGUAUUCUGCACAUCAAAUCCUUCAAUAUUUGGCACGGCCACUGAAUUCAAAACAUACUGCCUGGAACAGAAAUGUAUUUUAUUUGGGCUUUGACAAUCGCAGUCCAAUAGUUUAUGGAAAUUCAGUUGAUCCUAGAAAAAGGAAUCAAUGUGUUUCAAGAUAUGAAACAUGGAAUGAACAAGAAGGAAUCCAAUUACAACGUGAGCAUGUGGAAACAUUACCACGCUUUUCUUCACAAUCAAUUCUGAUGCGAGGAAAGUCAACAAAAUUAUUACACUGCGGUCACUACAUGCACCACCAUACUCGAGUAUAUCACUAAUUUGCAGAAUCUGUUACAUGAAAUAUAGUAAUAAAUACUUGUCCCUUGUGAUAAUUGUAUGACAGAUGAACAUAAAAAUGAAUAAUACGAGAAAACUGCCAAUUUGUAUCAAACUAAUAACUCUCAAGCCGCAACAACUGAUUGUUUCGACUACAUCACACAACAGAGAACACCGCAUUAUAUCUCAACUUUUAAUUUACAAAUUGCGCACACACAUGAGUCCAAUGUAUCAGAAUCUCGGGGCAUUUCUUCAUUUCCAGUAUCGUUUUAUCCAUCAUGAAUUUUGAAACAUCUAAUAGGACGUUGCUUAGAAUGCCUAUAUCUUUAAACAAUCUCUUAAAAAAAAGCUCUUUCUAUUUAGUUUUCCAUUGUCUCAUACUUCACAAAACACUGUUUUUGCUCCUUGAGCUUAAGUCCUAGAUUAUAUUGUACCUUACUGUGAUUCACCUUAAAAAAAAAGUUGAAUACAUUUGUAAAAACACUAACCUCAGGAAAAUCUCCCAAUAGUGAUGCCAAUUUUUGCAAUAAUAUGAAAUUGUGUGCUGCGUCUGAACAAUGAGUGACAGACAUGAUCGAUUCUUCACCAUUUGUUUUCUGAGGAUCCUGCAUCCAGGUGAAUAAAUUAAGGUAAGGCACAAACAACGCAAUCCAUAAAAUAAUGGAAUGAGUUCGACACCUAUCUAAGUAGAAAUCAAGUAGAAUGUUGUAACAAGAUGAAUGGCACAACCUUUGAAGAGAUUGAACAGUGAAGAUCUUUACGGAAGUAGUAAUCAAGUAGGCACCAUAUUGCUUUUCCAUCGACCAAAGAAGAAAAGCUGCUAAUCUUUAUAUCAUAGUUGUCGCAGACCACCUGAAGUAAAAGACUUUCCACGUUUAAUCGAGAGGUAUAGGUUUCUGAAUUGGAUAAUUUAAAUAUUUAAAAUAGUUAAUAAAGCAAUCCAGGAUAAGAACUAGUUCGAUCAACUCCUUGCAAUGAGAAAGAGUCGAUGCUUUCCCAUACACUAAAUCUUUGUGAAAUUGAAACAGGUUGAAAACGACCAUAGAGGAGAAGGCUUCUUCAACCCAAUAACAACCUUUUAAAUACAACGUCUUCAUAAAUUCAUAUAUUUGAAGUUUGAAUAAGUGAGCAAUGAAAAAAAAAAAAAAAACAAAAUGAAAGUGUUUGCAAAAUGCUUUCCCCUAUACUAAAUCUUUAUGACCCUACUCUACAGAAUUGAAAUUAUUUAUAGCAGUGAAAUUAUUCUCGUAUUGGUAAAUACGUAUUUCUGCUUUCACAACUUUACUGAUUGUUAAAAUGGAAUGCAUAGUAUAGAAAAAAUGCUUAUAAAUUCCAAGAUUUGAUCUGGGUAAAUGAGGAAAAUCAUUACUUCCCCGCAAAACAGUGAACAUGGCUUCCGUUUGCAUUAAGGGGAAUAAAUGCACAGUGGUGAUACUUGUUGUGGUUGUAAUUUAAUGAUAGACGAAGGAGGAUGAGACUGAAAGAAAUACCUGGAUCCAAUCCAAGAUAACUUCCAAGGGUGUGGAUUUGUCAAUUUCAGAUUUUUCCUGAUGGAUGGAAAAGAGUGAGAAGGUGUGAACAUAAUUCAUUUUUCUGAAAAACGAAUCUAAUAAAGAAAACAUAAUAGAAUCGGACGUCAAAUAAUAACAAAAUAACCAACGUCUGUAUUGAGACUGAUGACACCUUUAAAAGUCUAACAAAGAAGUAUAAUACUGACCACCCCACGAAUUUUGCAGACUUCUUCAACUAGAAGGUUUUUGUUGACUAUAAGAGGCAACUGCAUUUUACAUGUGAAAGAAAAUAAGUCAUGAUUUUCUGACAUGAGAGCUAAAAGAACAAAACUCAUUGACAAUCAAUCACAUUACACAAACAAGUUGAGUGAUUAUCAUGGAAAAGCAAGAAAUUAGAAUACCUGAAGAUGAACAAACAUGUUAGAGAGCAAAGAAAGGACCAUUUCCUUCUCUCCGUUAGCAAUAUCAUCUUCCACAAGUAUCAUUCCAUCCUCAUCACAUAAUGCUACACCAGCCUGCUUAAGAUACUGCACAGCCUUGCCACAGUUUGCCAAGUUCUUCUUAUGAGAGUCUGAUGGAACUACAAUUUUCUGAAAGCAGAAUUGGAGAAAAAUUAAGAAAAAGGUAGAAAAAGUGAUUGUCACUAAGAGCUGUAUUUUCAUGAAUGAAAAAUGACACUACCGUCAGAAUGGAACAGUCAUUAAGCAAAAGUUGAAUGGCUCUGCACAGUCGAACACCGUCUUGGAUGUCUACGAAUAAAUCGGUAAUUUUGAAGUCGUAUUCAGAAAUGGGACGCUGCAGGGACAUAAAAAAUUUACACCAAGUCACCCAAUAAGGGUAAGCAUUAUUAAAUUAGUUACAGUCACCUACAGCAGCUAUUGAUGUUUUUGGUCGUAUUCAGGUUAAAAUGCUCAUCAAGUCAUUAAGUAUAGAACAACUACCUGAGCGUAAGAUACUUUAUACCCCAUAAUCACCAAAUGUGCUAGCAGAUUACCUUCUCCAUGCAUUACAUCUGAUGAUAGGAAAUCUAAUUGCACCAAGAGAAAAACAAAACUUAUGCUCCACUUCCAAACCUAUAGAAUUAUGGGCAAAAAUGGGUGGAGCAAUUGUUAAUUACCAUUAAUCAUUUGACGACUUGAUUUGAUGACAGAUUGCACAAGGAACAGCAAAGGAGAACCCCCAUCCACGCCAUCGAUACCAUAAUCAAGCGGAAGGCUGCUCUGGCACUUGGCUUUAUCAAGAAUAAGAACUAGCAAUAAAAACCUUUUUAGAAUAAUAUUACCCAAGGCUUCAUAAUAUCCCGGUCUAUAUAAACCCUCAACCAUCCGGUUAUAAGAAUAUGCCUUCGCCAGACCAGAGUGAGAAAAAAACUGCUUCCCGAGGACCAUUUUCAGAAAUGCAUUAUCUUGUUCAGAAUUCACUUCUUCAGUAGACAGCAAAGAAUCACCACCAAAUAUGAUGUAUAAUCCAAUGUGAAGCCAAAUUGGAUUAUAAGCCAUAAGGAUCCUCGUGGCGCUCUCCUUCAGUCUAACAUCAGUUAUGAUGGGACAAUGAGCCUUCAUUUUUAACCUUCCGUCAUCAAUAUUCUGCGAGACAGAGCAGAAUAUUAGAAAUUUCGAAAUUUUUUAAGAACCCAUGUUUUAUUGAUAGCGUAAAAGAGAUAUAAUCUAAUAAUCUUGUUCGUGCAUUAAAAAUCACCGUAAGGUUCAAGUUUAUUAAGAGUGCAAACUAUAUCUUGAUUGUGAUUGCAAUAUCACCUCAUUUGUGGCAAGAAUUUGGACUAUUCUAUUACAACUGAAGGCUGCAACUAAGCAAGAUUAGCCUCCAUUUACUCAACAUAGUACGGUACGAAUAUAUUUCUAAACUGGGAUCGAAGUUAAUCGAGCUAAAAUGGUGAGAACGUUGAUCUAAAUUCUAAUCGCUAUUUGUAGUAACCAAGCCAAAGAAAAAGGGAAAUGAUAUAAUUGAAGCCGAACCUUAGCCACUUGAGCCAUGAUGUCCAGAGUAUCCUUACAAUUAUUCGAGCUCAAGUAAACUCGCAUUCGUUGCGUCAAAUCAUCAAAGCUGCACACAUCUUUCAACGACUCCCUCAACUUCACAUACCUCGAAUUCGAAAACUCAACUUCGUUUUCAGCGACAUCGCCACUUGGAAAUCCCCAAGACAAUUCUCUCUGCCUCUUCGGACAUCGCCACACCAUAUCAACCCCCACUGCAGGACAACUAUUGAAAUCCCUCUUUCGAUUCCCCCGCGAUCCAGUGCUACAUCCAUCAUCACCCACAGGCCAAUCGCAGCCACAAGAUCUGGGAUUCUCAAACAAGAAAUUAAGCCAAACCGUGAGGGAAUUAGCUAAAGAUUUGAGAGAUUGUUCCUUCUUCACCUGAACCUUGCGAGAGGACUGCGAUUGCUCAAGCUCAAAAGCUUUGAGUUUGCGGGAGGCCUUGGACCGAGCAGCAGAAGAGGAAGGAGCGAGAGAAGGGCGUGGACGGCGAAGUGUGGAAGAAACGAGAGGAGUUCUCUUAGAAGCAGUAAAGAAAGGUUGAGAUGGAGAUUGAAGAGUGGAAAUGCGGGAAUGGCGUUUGGGGGUUUUGAAGUUUGAGAUGUCUUUGAAAAUGGAAGAGGGAGGAGGUUUGAAAGGUGAAGGAGAAGGAGAAGGAGAAGGUAAUUCCUCUUCAACUUCCAUGGAUGGCUGUGUUCUCUUCAACUUUGAUUUGAAUUUUGAAGGUUUUCUUGGGCUUUGAAGGAGAAAGAGAACGAAGUUGAUGAGUUUUUGUGUUUGAAUUCAAAAUGCGAGGGAGACAAACACAGCCUUUGUUAUAAAUACGACGACAUCAUUUUUUUUUAUUCUAAAGUUACAAUUUUACCCCUCACACAUUAAAUUGCUAUAAAAUACUCUUCUCAUCAAUAUUUUUAAAAAUAACCAAAUAAAUUAAAAUAUUUACAAACAAUACCAAAAUUUUGAAUUCUAUCAAAUAUAACUAUUAUAGAUUUUUAUGAUUAUUUAUCAAAGUAUACAAGCAUAGUCAACAUGAGCUUAGCUCAAUUGGCACCUCUAUGUUCCUGUCUCGGGUUCAAAUCUCCACCUGUUUUUUCUAAAUCUUGUGUAUGAUGUAUUUUUUUUUAAAUAUUACCUUUGAUAAUAUAAAAGUAGUAUUUUUUUAAUUAAAAAAAGCAUGUGAAUGUCUUUUGUUUUAAGAGAAGAUUAACUAUAAACUCAUAUUAAUAAAGAAAGGAGUGAUUCAAAUAUUUAUUAAAAGUGGAUAUGUUAUACUUCUUGAUAUUUGAUCCUUCUUAAAACAUAAAUUUAUUGUCGCUUGUAUUGUUUUUUUUUUUUGGAAUAGUUGUAAAUUUAGCAAUUAGAUUCAAGUAUAUAGCAACAUUUCAAAAAAUUACCAUGUGACAAAUACGAUACAAGUCUAUCAACAAUAGUUUUGCUAUAAUUACAAUUUUUUUAAAAUUGUAAUAAUUAUUAUUGAAAUGGUCCUUAAUUAUUAUUAUUAAAAUGGUCCUUCAUUACAAUUUCUUUUUUUUUUUCCUUAAAAAUGUUAAUUUACCAAUUUAGACCGAAAAAAGAAUUGCAAAUGUUUGUAAUCACCGUAUAAAUUUUUGAAUCCGAUGAAUUGUUUGACAUACAACUUAAAUUCCAAGUUUUUAACAUUUAGUGUGAGUAACUCAUCGUCACAUCCCAACUUUUAAUUUUUACAUUUAUCAAUGAACUCUCGACUUGUUAUGUUAAAUAAGUAAAAAAGAAAUUAUGAUAAUAUGACUCAUGUUACUACAUUUUCAAUAAAUCUAAAAAUCGAUAACUCUAUGAUUACCGUCUAAUAGUCUUAUGAUUGUUGUUUUUUUUCUAAAUGUUUUUAUCAUUGAAUGCAAUUUUUAUUUUAAAAAUAUAUCUUUUUAAAAACCAAAUAGAUCUAUUCUCGUAAACCUCAAUUCAACUAAGAUGAAAUGCAUAUUUCUAUUUUUAUUUUUUAAAAUUCAAGAACCAAUUAUCAGAUGCUAUUUUACAACCACAUACUUAUUAACUAUACUUAGUAGACUAAAUGGUCUCUUACAACUUCAAAAUAACUUCUAGAAAACUGUAAUAAUUCAUCAAGGGUAUAUCAACGAACUUUUUGACAUUUAAUGGGUUGAGCCUUUUUUCUUUUUUUGAGUUUUGCAAGUUUGGUUGGUGACAUAAUUUUUAUGACUUACUUUGCCAAAUCAGGAAGAAGCUCAAAUUAAUUUUGCCACAGGCCCAUAACAACCAGCCUGUUGAUACCUUUGUUAAUCAGGAAUUCUCUGCCAUUUUCAACCUUGCUCGGGUAGAAAUUCAGAAGAGACGCAAAUCAAUCUACCUCAUCACUUGUAUACUAAUACUAACCAAAAUCACAGACCAUAGCAUCAAUAAGCAAAAAUAAAUUACAAGCAGUUUAUCGAGUCCUCAACAGUGUGAUACUCAUCAAAACACACAAUACUUCAUCUUACACAAAUCUAUCUUUGCACAAUUAGACCAAAUAGAAUGAGUUGUUCACAAAUCAGACAACACCGAAAGAAGAGUUUCAUAAUUGCUCUCAGUCAGCAGCAAAUAGCUGGGACUUUCUUUGGCAUUACAUGCCACAGCAGAAUGCCACAUUGACAUAUUUUUUUCUUCCAGUUAGGUAAGAAUCCACUACUCCCAGAUAUUGAAAAAACCAACCCCAAGGAGGUGAAGAAGUGUACAGAAUGUAAUGCACAUUGACUAACGAAUGGGGUGGUACUGAGCUGAUAUUCUCUUAGGAGGCAAUUUGCGUAAUAUGUAAAGCACUAAUGCUGAAGGCAGAAUUUCGACCAACUGUGAGUUUAACAAAAUUUGUUAAUAUCAACCCAAAGUAUGUUGAAAUCAGAUAUAUGAAACAGGAACAAGCAUAGUAAAGUAAAGUACCAAGUAGUAGAUGAAAUUCAGAAGAGGGUGAUCUAAAACAUCAAGUGAUGCAUCAGCGUCAAAAGCCGAUAAAGCAACCUGCACUCAACAGUUGGGGAAAAAAAAACAUCUUGUGAAUCUCAUGUUGUGUCAGAAAAGUUGUUUCUUCAACGGCAAAAUCCAUUUUAUUUAUAAAGUUUGUCACCCUAUGCUUAAACAGGAGGAGGUUGAACUAUACCACAAAGCAUCGAAUGAGGAAGCAAGUAAAGCAUAUGGCAGUUACAGAUCCAACCUGCAAUCAUUUUUUAAGAAAAAGGGUAUUUAAAAGCAAGUAAGCAUGAUUUAGGCGGAUCCACAAUAUACAUGAAAACUCAUACGUAACGGCUAAAAAGCCUACAAAUAACAACCUUGAUCCUACUCUAAACCCUUAUCAAUUCUUUACUUUUUCUAUUUUCUUUUAUAAGAAACUUAUCUAUUUUUUUCUCAUCUUCAUUGAGGUGAAAUUUUAAUGUAGUUACAAAUCCUACAGCCUGAGGAAAGGGUUCAGAUGUCGAAGACAUGUAUGUGUAUAUAUGAUAUGUCUUAAGCUUAUUAAUAUCACAUUUUCCAAAUGAUAUACUUAAGUUUAAAGUAGGAAUAAUAAAAUGCACACGUUGCAGAAACCAAACAAUGUCUUCUAAACCUACAGCCCCCUUGUAAUUAUGGCAUCUCAGGUGACAGUUUCUACGGAAAAGCAAAUGGAGUUUGACCAGAUAAUUUGUGUGUAUAAACUUUAGAACUUACGUCAUCUGUUGCUAAAAUAUUACAUGCAGAUGUGGAGGAUAGAAAUCUUCAUAAGUAACUCAAUUUUCCUCAUACAAUAGGAAGAAAAGGGCGUUUGUGGUUACAUCAUGAUAGAGCACGAAUAAACAAUGGACACAUACCUCAUGAAGUUUCUUCCUUCUCCCUUUAGAUUCAAUUGGAAAACGUCUAAGCAUGAAAAACAAUCUAAAGAUUUUCAAACAAGAGAAGUAGUCAGUAAGGGUAAUCAAAGAUAAUACAAAAUCUAGAUGCAUUGAAUAAUAAAUUGAAAGGUCAUGAAGUAGAUACUCACCUUCCACCGUAUAUCAAGAAGCCUAAUGCAGCUAUGAACGAUACCACUGACAAAAUCAAAGGAAGCAAUGGUUAUUAGAAAGGGAUAAAAUAAUGACAUUAUCUUCUAGACUCAAACUACAAAACUUGACCUCUUGUACACAGGAAACAAAUCACUGGAGACAGACUAACCUGCAAUGAAAAUUUUUCCAAUGAAUUCUACCACACUGUUGUCAUUCACUCCGAUGUAUAUCCAAAUGCAAACCUGUCCAUAGAUUAUUAAAUUUGAUUCAGUAAAAUCCCUCCUCGGGAAUUUAAAUACAAGGAACUACCUCACCCUUCCAAAUAAUAUUCAAAAUUCAGUCAAGGAUUUUCAAGUACGAAUUGGCUACUUAUUGAUUUCAAACAAGGGUAGUUGAGAGUAACGGUGUUAAAAAUACCUGUAUGAGAUAUAUCACACUGUUGAUUGAAAUGUAAACUGUUCUUAGUUUAUCUGUUGGCAGACUUCUUGCCUGUGCAUCAAAACAAUCGAGGACAACUCAGCAAUCCUCAUUGUGCCCAAAAUGAUGGCAAUAUCAAUGACAGCUCAGACACUAAAAAGGGAAGACAGCCUUGAUUGCAAUAAAGAAAAUUUUAAAAGAAAACAGACAGCAAUACAAUAAACAAAACUUGCCUGGUGGUAUAUCUCUGCCCAGAAGAGGACCAGGAGUGUGUACGUUGAGAAAAAAAGAAGCCCAGGAAGUUCCAACAAUAACAAUAGUAGAACCUGAUUCAGAAUUAAUUGACAUACCUCAGUAUACAAGAUAUAGUCUUCAUCACACCUUUUUAAGAUUUUCAGAGGCCAUGGGACUAUUGAAAUCUUUAAAAUAUUAAGAGAUUCUAUAAAUAAAGAAAAAGGGAAGAGAAACUAAGAUGCCACUUGGAAACGUAGCUAAAAGAGCCGGUAACUUUAAUUUGCUAAACAAUAGAGAAAAUGUCAAGAUGAUCUAUAAAAAUUGCAAGAGUUCCAAAAUUGUAGAACAUUUGUAACGAAGAUCUUCCACAAAAGACAACAAUACGAUGUGUAAUCUCUUAUAUAGGUUAUCAUCAACAUCAAUAUUUUAAGAGAACUAAUGUGCAAUCUUUUAUCUCGUAAAACAGCUUGGCAAUAAGUAGAUAAGAUAAUGGUGGUAAAUGUCUUUUUCACUACGGUGGAAAAAAUUAAGAACUUAAAUUCGAGCCCAGGAAAGGUUAGGAUUCAGUCAAAUAAAUUUUUUAAUAUAUUUCUGUUGUAACAGAACGUCUGUUAUAACAAUUUCCAGAUUCUGAUUGUAAAUAUCUUUGUAAAUCUAGAGUAUUGGGUACUUAUAAGUAGGCUACUUUACUUCAUCAUCAAAAACAGUGGAAUACAGAUUAUUCAUUCUCCAAAUCUCUAGAGUUUCAAUUGGCGAAUCCCAAAUAAUAUCAAAGAUCCAGAUAUGGUCCAGGUAAAUUUUCAUAAAUGAUAUCGAAGGUUCAAACACUACUCGUGCAAACUUACCUUUGGUUGCAAAAGAAACACUUGCUUGUGGAGCCCAAACACAAUUGCACGUACUGAAUCACGAAGUUUGAAACUAUCAAUUAAAACCUUAGAAUGCCUCCUUCGAGAAUAAAGUCGAACGCUAUUUUUAUAUUACCUCCAUUGACAAUGAAAUUCAUGAGAUGGAAAACUUUCUGUGUCGUCCAGCCAUAUUCUGGAACUCUCAAUUCGAUCCUUAUCAGUUGAAUCUGCACGCACGUACACAAAAUAAGUUCCAGAUGCCCAGAAUCUAACACAGAAAUCUUUAUUCUACACCUCUACUUUGCUCCCCCAUUCUUGUUAAAGCGAACGCAAAGCUAGACAUUGAAAGCUUAAAGAAGCCCUGAUUACUUGGGGAAAAGCAUUCAAAGCCCGGAAAGUAAAUGAAUUAAAUAAUGGGAAACACAAAUUGUACUUAUUGGAAUAUGAAAUUUCCAUUUCCCAAAAUUCACAUUAAAUAAACCAUAACGAUUGGCUCCCAUCAGUGAGUAAAAGGAGCAAUUCUAGGAAAUGGAAACGCACCCAAACCUACCAAUUUACUCAAUUAGCAAUCAAAUACAAAACCAUAACCACACAUAGCAGAUAAGUUUAGAUGGAUGGGGUAGGGAAGCAAAAGAGAGAGAGAGACCAAAGCAACGGCGGAGACUAGCGCAUAUACAGCACAAAGAGAGUAGAAAAUCCGAUCCUGCCAAAAAGUAGAUUCGUUGAUGUCAUUCCACCAGCUGGAUGCCGUAACUCCCAUCUCCAUGGUCGUCGUCAAGUUCAGCUGCAAUCUCGUCAUUCUUCCCUAAAUAGUAAAGAAUCUUUCCCACUAUCGCCCUCCCUCUCCGCCGUAGAAUCAGAGAACCGAGAAUCUGAUGAAUUGAGAAGACCAAGCGAACGCCGGCAAGAGAGGCACCGGAACGCCGGCGAGGAGAGAGGGGAGACAGAGGAGAAAAGGGAUUUUUCUUUGGGUUUUUUGGACUUCGGCCUUUUUGUUUAUUUUGGUCGCUCUUUCCAAAGUAAUCAAUUCAUAAUUCACGAAGGCUGUGGAAAAGAACAAAUGGAGUAAUCAAUCGUUCCCUCCACAUACUUUAUAAAAUGUCAUAUUUUAUCCCUAACCUCUUUUAAAUUAUUAUACCAAAAUUAACCCAAAUAUUUAUUUUCAAAAUAAACUAUACAUUACCUUCAUUAAUAUUUGUUUAUCAAUAUUUCUUUUUAAACUUUUGUUAUUCAUUUGAAAUUACUUUUCUUUGUUUAUUGUUUUUCUUUUUUGGUUACCUUGUGUCAAGCUGGAAUCUUCCCAUUUUAGAUAUUCAAAUUAAGGCUAAGAUUAUAAUUUGGUGACAUCAUUUCGAUAAGCAUAAACUUUGAUUUGGUCCCUUGUGGAGUUUUUUCUACUAAAUACAAUUUUGGUAGUAUACUCCCCAUUUUAAUUUCUUCUUUUUAACAAACGUUAAAAUUAAUCUCUUAAUAUGAAUAAAUUGAUUAAGAAAUAAUAAUUAUCGUAUACGAAAAUAAAGUAUUUGGACAUAUUUUCAAAAUUUCUAAUAAAAUGUUAUAGGUAAUAACACUCUUCUUAAUUAAAUAGUAAGAAGUCAAGUUAGACAAAGUGACUAAUUGUUUUUAAAUUGUAUUUUACCCGAUUGUGAACUACAAAUUUGGGCAGCAGCAGCAGCUAGUUAAGUGUGAUCAGCCAAAUAUAAAUCUGCUAAGCGAAAACAAAUUGUUGUCAGGUGCAUGAUUUGAGUAUGAAAUCUGUUAAAUACAAAUCAUUAAAUAAUUUAGAAAGAAGACAAAUAAAAUGAAUGGAAGUCUCGUCCAAACAAUACAAACCAAAUUUGAAAUCGAAUGGAUAUAAUGUGUUGGACGGUUCAUCUUUUUGUUUUAAUUUCCUUUUCUUUAAUGAUAAUGUAGUCAUGCUUAAUCUAAUAAUAGAAAAAUAUUUAAUUCUUCUUUAUUCAAGUUGAAAUAGUUAAGUUAAUUGUAGCAACGUGAAAGCAGGAAUUAAUGAUUGAAUUUAGGAGGUGUUUUUCCAUCCCUUCUUGUAAAGAAAAUGAACUCCCUUAAUGGUAAGUAAAUUAUUUCGCAUGGUAUUUAUCUAUAAUGAGUCCAUAUUCGAAGCAAAAUUUGUAUUGAAUAUGAAAUCAUGACGUGCAUAUCUCACAUGUUAUGCUUAAAAUAAGUUUUUUUUUUCUUCCUACUAUUUGAUAGAGGAACAUGAUAGACUAAAAACUUGAGCCGACCAAUCAAAUCGAAGUCAGUCUCUUGAAAAAUAAGAGAGAUCGUUUCGAAAAGUUUGAAAUCGAGAAUUUUCAAAAUUAUUUUGAAAUGUUAAACCGAUCCGGCCGAUCUUACUCAAUGAUGUUAAAGUCGGGAAGAAAACAACUCCACCAACCUAUUAACACCCAUAUUAUUGGCUUCUAGGUCAAUUUUUAAUAAUUAUAUAUUUAUUUUGUGGUUAAGCUAUCACCGUGGGAUCCGUGGCGCAAUGGUAGCGCGUCUGACUCCAGAUCAGAAGGUUGCGUGUUCGAUUCACGUCGGGUUCAAAAUCCCGAUCUUUAACGGAUCAUUUUUUUUCCUCCCUUUUCCUCCAUCUGUACCGUUCGUUGAUCAUACUUUUGAAAUCUCAGAUUUUAACAACGGACAAGAUUAAAGGUUUCACCAGUCUUACGUGUUUCGCAUCUGCACUAGAUUGGCUUAGCCCCCGCCUUCGUCUUCAAGUUUUUGUACAAAACCCUAGACCUCAUUUCUCAAGUUUUAUCUGCUGACGAGUCUCGAGCUAUGGCGCUUCUCUAUCGCCUCCGUUCUGCUUUCCCUUCGAACUCGACUUAUAUCAACUAUCGUCUUCACUACCGUUCUCUCUCCACAAUCCUUUCUCCUGAUUCCUCUAAUCCCUUGUCAGCGAAACAGAAGUCCAGGGCUGCACUGUCCCUACUGAAAACGGAGGAAAAUCCUGAGCGCAUUAUUGAUAUUUGCCGAGCUGCUAGUCUCACUCCAGAAUUUCAUCUCGAUCGUAUCGCUUUCUCUGUUGCCAUUUCCAAGCUCUCAAAAUUUAAGCAUUUCGAUGGGAUUCGCCGGUUCCUCGAGGAAUUGAAAUCUCGUCCCGAUUUGAAGAACGAGCGUUUUGCUUGCCACGCUAUUGUUCUUUAUGGCCAGGCUAAUAUGCUUGAUCAUGCUAUUAGAACUUUCAAGCAAAUUGAUGAACUGGGUGUGCGUCAUUCGGUUAAAACGCUAAAUGCAUUGCUAUUUGCUUGUAAUUUAGCUAAGGAUUACAAGGAACUGAAACGGGUUUAUAUGGAGUUCCCUAAGAUUUAUGGAAUCGAACCGGAUAUCGAUACUUAUAACAGAGUGAUUAAGGCGUUUUCGGAGUCGGGUUCGUCGAGUUCAGUGUCUUCGAUUGUGGCAGAGAUGGACAGGAAGGAUGUCAAACCAAAUGCGACUACUUUUGCGAAUUGGCUUGCUGGGUGCUACAUGGAAGAGAAGUUUGAGGAUGUUGAGAAGGUCCUAAAUUUGAUGGAGAAAUAUGGCGUGCGACGUGGAGUUGCUACAUAUAAUGCAAGAAUACGCAGUCUUUGCAAAUUGAAGAGAUCAACAGAAGCAAAAGCUUUAUUUGAUGGGAUGUUAUCCAGAGGUAUGGAUCCAAACUCUGUUACAUAUUGUGAAUUGAUUCAUGGAUUCUGUAAGGAAGGAAAUCUAGAUGAAGCUAAGAGCAUUUUUAAAAGAAUGAUCAACAGCGGUUGCCAACCAGACAGUGAGUGCUAUUUCACUUUGACUUACUUCCUUUGUCGAGGAGGAGAUUAUGAAACAGCAUUCAAGAUCUGUUUGGAGAGCAUGAAGAAGGGGUGGGUUCCAAAUUUCAGUACAAUGAAGUCUCUUGUUGAUGGGCUAGUUAGUAUUUCGAAGGUCGAAGAGGCAAAGCAACUUAUUGGGCAAAUCAAAGAGAGGUUCUCAAAGAAUGUUGAGAAGUGGAGUGAAAUUGAAGCUGGAUUACCUCAGUGAGGAAAUUCUGGGUUCCUGUGCAACUAUCAAUACCAAGUGAGUCUUGAGGAAAAACUAGAGAACGAGGAAUUUUUUCUUGGCUUGAGCUAAUCACUCUCUGCAUAUGUUUUACAUUGAUGCAGUUAAUUGAUUUGUCAGGAAGCUGUUAUCAAAAAGCACUUUUUGUGACCCUUCUGAGAGGCUAUGCUGAAUUUCUACUGUCUUUUAUGUUCUAGCUUUACCACUGGCUGAAAUUUGUAAUGCUGUAGUUGAAUGAAUUCUCUAACUAUUGGUAGGCUCUGACCUGCUUCAAGAAGGGUGAUAAUGUGCUUGAAAUGUUGUCGUUGACCUUCCUGUUAGGUUAGUAAUUGCUGUAUUGAUGGAAGCUAGAUUGUUUUGAGCAAUUUUGUAUGUCAAUAAAGAUGAAACUUAACAUUGGAUUUUAUGCGUCUUCAGAUUUAAUCAUAUCUUUCUUGUUAUAAUUCAAAAUAUUCCCUCUGUGCGAUGGUGAAUUUGGAUAGCAAGUAAUUGCCUGAUAAAAUGCUUAUGUUUCUUCUGCAUGUCUUCAAUUUUUUGAUUUGCUACGAAAACAAAUAUACUUGGUGAACCAUGUGUCCAAGAGAACUAAUAUUUUUAGAGAGAAUGUUUCAAAAUACAAUAAAGUGCCACUAGGUAGUUUUUUUUAAACUAACGUAAAUAUAUGUGAGAUCCUGGGUUGUUUGUAGUGCCAGUUACAAUUGUGUUUGCUCAUUCUUGAAUCUGAGGUGUAUGGGGGAGGCAGGAAAGUGUAAUGAAGAUCACAAAAUUGAAGAAUUUCUUAUAUUUUUCACAACUAUAUUACAUCUCUGCACUAAUUCUUUUCCUCUCUCUUCUCUGUCUCAUGGACCUGCAAGGAGAAACAUCUGAAGAGCCACAGUUCUUCCAUACAAUUGAAUAUUUUCUCCUAAACUGGAUUGUACCUUGAUGAUUGAAACUUGAAACAGCUAAUUGGUUCCCUUUCUCUGUGGCUUGGAAAUCCUAGGAAGUUCCUUCAUAGAAUUUGGAAACACAAACCAUAUAAAGCACCAGCAACAUUGAACAACUCAAAUUUAAGAAAAGCUGCCUUUUAGCUUCUCUUGCAGAUCCUGACCUCAUGAUACAUAUUCUGAGGAUUAUGAAACAUCCAUCUGCAUCUACAUGUGCAAGCUAUGGAAAUCAUUCUGAAGGAUCGUAUAACUCAACCCAGAAAUCUUAUUCAUUCGAUUGCUUCUCGAAGCAUCAAAAGUCGAGCACAUUUUUGUAACAAAGCGAUUGCUGGUUAGCUUCGUCUUCCUUCGCCAUGACAUUAAAGAUUGCCAGAAGGUGGGUGGUGAACUUCUACAGCCAGACGAAGCCAUUUCAGGUCCUUGAGACCUCUGUGAGCUGAUGGAGGUUUCAAGCUCAAUCUUGGCAAAAUAAUCUAUUUCCUUCUUGACGAGUGAACCAAUGGUUCCUCGAGUUCCAAUGGCAACAGGAGCAAUUGCAGCCAUUCCGUAAUGGGAUUUGUAGAAUGUGUUGGUGGGUUUAUUAUGUUGCAUUCGUUUUGAUGUUGUAAAUUUGAAGAAACGGAAAGAAGGUUUUGGGAUGAAGGAUGUGAGAUGUUGUAGGGUCCUUUUUCCUGAAGGGGUUGUGAUUUGUUUGCUUUGAAUCUAAGCCAACUCCUUUGUUUUGAUCUUUUUAUAAAGCCAUCUGUUGAAGUAAAGUGCUUUGGAAGAGAUAGAGAGCAGCCUCCGCUUGAGAUUUUUAUAUAAUAUUUCAUUCUGAAUGUGAAUGCUGCGAAGAAGCAUCGUAGUGUUUCCCUGUCCCCGACGAUAUUAUGAUUCCUUUUCUAAUCUCUACUAAUUCGGUUGCCCACAUUAUUUUCAUCUAUUUGUCAAGAAGUUUCGAGAUCAGUUUCAAUUUAGUUCGUGUUACAAAAUAUUAUAAAUCUACACUUGUGAUUUGACUUUUGUUUUCAUCUCUAAAUUUUAAGAAUUACAUUUUUUUACCUUAAUUUAAAAAAUAAAUUUCCACUUUUAGUUUUUGGUUUUUGAUGUCAAUAUUGAUUAAUUUUAAAUAAUUAUUUUGUGAAAUUUUAAAUUUAAUAGAGAUGAAAUUACAACAUUGAAUCUUAGGGAUUAAAAACAACUUUUUUCUUUUAUACAUAAAAUUUAUCUUACGAUGAUUAUUUCUGUUUGGAGAGUGGUUUUAGAUUCAGGGUGAACUCUCCCCUAAACAAAUGAUUUUGGCUAACCUAUUGAUUAAAAAUAGAAUUGAAAGUGUUGUUUUGUAAAAAAGAACUCCUCCAAAAUGUCUUUUUAACAGAGAACUUACUCCAUAUUAUUUUGGGAAGAAAUGAUUUAGUUUUGAAUAAAAUACUCUAAUUUUUGUGGAUAUUUUUUAAAAUUCUAUUAUAUUUAAAAGUACAAUAAUGAUAGAAAAUGUAUCGUCGUGAUUUGUUGGUUGUGCCUUUUAUGUUUCAUUUUUUGAGAACAGAAUCACCUUUUUAAAUUGAAAAUUAAGAUCAAUGCUUUUAAAAUAAAAGUGGGAUGUUGAUUUACUCAAUAGAAACACAGUGCAAUUGAGUUGUGAAGAUUUCUUCUGCACCCUACAGGAAGCCAAAUCCAUCCAUUGAUCAUGAAAAGGGUUGAUGAACUUUCCCAUCUUGCCUCCUUUGCCUUCUUAAGAAUCUAAGAUAAAUGAGGAGUUCUGGUUUUGGUUCGAUAUAAUAUUCAAUUUUUGCAAAAUAUUAUACGAUUAGUAACUUGGGCAAUUUUUUUUGUCUUGGAGGCACUAAACUUCUAACUUUUUUUGUUGAGAUAUGUUUACUAAUUUUGUAAAAUGCAAUCAUAUGAUACUUCAAACCCAAUGCAUCCAAGUUCCAACCAUAUGUCAACUUUUUGGUAGUUGGGUAUUCCAAUGGAGAGACAAAAUAGAAGCAUAGUAAUCAGAAGAGAAUUAAUCGAUUUACAUGUAAAUUUGCCCAAACAAAAGUUAUAGUUGAACAAAUAAGAGCAAUGAAAACCUUUCUGAGUGCCUUAUAUCUAUAAUAUGGCAUUCAAAAAAGUAGUUAUUAGCUAUAAUGAACAAAAAUAGCCUCAAAAUUGUAUCUUCCCUCUUAUUUUCUUAAAUAUUCUCUAUACUUCGGUAAAAAACCACCUACUCGCACUAUUGAGUAUUGUCUCUCUAUAUUAUAAAUCUCUUUCAUUCAUUUUAGUUAUGAAUGUGAGAUUGAUGAAGAUAUUAUUGGACACUAGGGAGAUGGCAUGUAUACCUUAACUUCCUAUGCGAAGCAAGAGCUUGAACUAAAGCAGCAUUUACACUUGCACGCUCUCGGAAUAAUGAGUCGUACAAGUGACAAACAAACUGUGAAAGUUCCCCUUCGUCAUCAUCCCAGACAUCAAACGGAUAAUUUUCAAUUUUCUCAGCAUCACUGUCUUCCCAGUCACUUACCGGACUAGAAAGCUCCGCAUCGUCAUCUUCUCCCUCCUCUUCCCCAAUCUCAAACUUCCCAUUUUCCACAGUUUCGUAUUCCCCUGUUUGGAAUGUUGUUGAUUGUGUUUCGGGGGGUUCGUUUGAAGAACAUAUUACAGCUUUAGCUCCAGAAUCCAAAAAGGCUCUGAUUAAAGCUGGGGUUGGCCCAUGAGUUCCGGUGCAGAAAAUGAUCCUGUCCCUCCAAGCACCAACCUAGAGAAAAUUCAGAAAUACAAAUAGUGGAUGAGUGACAUUAAGGGGAGAAAGAUAUGGGUACAAGCGGAUUAACCAUUCUUUCUGUACUAGAACUAUAACUAUAUAUUUAGGGUCUUAGUUGAUUCACUCUUCCUCCACCAAGUGGGGCUGACAAAUCUAACGUACAAGUUUCUAUACAUCAAAUCUCAAGUAUCAUAAGUAUCAUCUUGAAACUUAUUAGAAAACCAUCUUUAAAACUUACUAUCCUUGCCGUAGAACAAACUAAUAAGAUAAUGAGUACAAAAACUGGAAAAAAUAAUAUUCUAAAAGCCUUCAAGGAUAUAGCCUAAAGGAAAAAGCAAUUGAAUCAUUAACCUAUUCUCCAAAGUAUUUACGAUAGUUCUCGAGGAAUGUAGGUUGCGAAAGAAAUUGGCUAAGGACAGGAAUAUAGAUAGAACUAGCACCAUGAUUCAAACCAAGGCCAACGACAAACAUCUAGAAGGGAAAGGAAGGAGGACAAAAUCAUCCAAAUCUUGUUCGAAAAACCAAAGUGUUCUGACAAAGAAACUACAUGAAAAAAAAAACCAAACAAAAGCAGUUGAAGAAAAUAUCUAUUCAUGAGAAAUUAUGAAACAAAAAAUCUCAUGGACUUUCACCGUUCCAACAAUCUCCUAGAAUGAACUUGAAACCCUCCCUCAAUAGAGAGUUCUUUAACAUCUCUAACUAAUUAAACAUGCGUCAAUUAUCAUAAGGGGUAAGAAUUUGAAGACAAAAAAAAAAAGAGAUUGAUCAUAACAGAAAGAGACUUGAAGCCCUACCAUCCAACGAACAUCAUCAGGUGAUAAGUGCAAGGAAGGAACAGUUCUACGAAACAAGUAAGCUGCAAUUUCUUGGUUAUCCUCCAUAACCUUCAACAAUAAACAUCAAUGACAUUCAGAACUGGAAUUCUCUGCAUUGUGACUUUUGACUACAACAAGAAAUCACGAGGAAGCAAAGAAAAAUGCCAAGAUAACAUACUUGGGUUUGUCGUCCUAAAUAACGAUGGACGAUACCUCCAAUUUCGAAGUAGGGUUUGAGCGCUACCAAAUCCGACACAGUCAAGACAUUGGAAAGCAAUGAUGCGCCCUUUCUACGAUGACUCCGCAUGGUGGACAACAAACUAAGCUUAACACUUUGUAGAAAUUUCUCUGCAAGUUCCCCGGGUUCUGCAACUACAAAAACAUCAUUUCGCCAACUACAAGAAUAAAGAAUAAGCAAGUCAGGACCAAAUGCAAAGGUUGCAACUAAAUUCACAAAUCAUAAAUGUCUGUACACAUGUUGACCUUAAUAUUGAGCCGGAUGAGUCAUUUUGAAGGGCUAAAUGUACAAUGCCCACUUGAGGUGAAUUUUGUAACUUCUCAUGCAAUGCCCGUACAGGCAAGGAGAGUUCUCUGGGUCCUGAAGGAGACUCGGGGGUGAAUGCUGCUCCUUUACCCAAAUGACCAUCUAAGUUUAACGGUGGGACCAUAUCAAUUCGACCAAGCCUUUGAGGUCCAACAUCAGGACUAUAAAGAAGUGGGCUUGAUGGAAAGCUUCCAGUAAACAAGGGGGAUGUAAAAGGUGUUGGGAAUGUUGAUGAAGGAACAGUCUUCAAAGCCCCAGAUGUUCCUUGCAUAAGGGAUAUUCGAAUUCCAUUUUUGGAACAAAAUGCUUCAAGUUCACGAGCAUGAUACAUAACUUUUCCAGUAUCAGGACUACUGGAAGCUUCAACCAGUAGUACAUUCCGUCUCCAACCCAAAGAAGGGCUAUUUUCAUCUAGCAUUUCCAGAAAUCAGUCAAAUAAUUGGUUAGUUCAAAAAAUACAAACAGAAUGACUGAGAAGUUGAAAAUGCUAUGAGGACAAAACAAACACCUAUGGAUGAUGCCAUGACUCUGGAGAAAUGAAGUGAAUUUAAGUUCUCCGACCACUUCUCAUCAUGUUGAUAAGGCAAGAUUAAUCUUUCACAGGCAUUCUUGAAGGCCAGAUUAUUACUUUGGAUAUACUCCUCAACUGCAGCUUCCAUCUUUAGCCACACUGCUGGAUCAGUUUCGUCCAGUUCCAUGUCACAUCGUUCAUCCACUGCAAUAGAUAAAUAAAAAUAAAAUAAAAUAAACUGAGAAUAAUAUGCACAUCUCUGUUCUCGAAAUAGACGUGCCAGAGGAUGACGCUAAGUUCUUUUAAGGUCAGAAUUUGGUGAGGGCAAAUAACUGCACAAAUGAAAUUUCACAGAAAUGCUAAAGCAAUUUCCCAUUGCACAUUAAGAUAUCAUACCUGGGUUAAACCGGAAAUAAUGUAUUUCAGGCAGCAUAGGUAACAACGUACUCAAGGCUUCCUCCACUCGGUCCACAGAGCAUGCACUCUCAAUAAGCACUUGUCCAGUGUCUAAAUAACGCCAUCCACCUUUCCUCACCUAAACCAGUCAAGACAGUUAUAGAGCAUUUAAAUAAUCUAAUUAUUCAUACGAAAAGUAAAUUACCUUCAUUGGAGUAGAGCCACAGCCAAUGGAAACUAAGCAGUCAAUUUUUGUGUCAGGCCAUAGAAGUUGUGCUUCUCUGAUGGCAAAGAUAGUAGGAUUGUUUGCCACAAUGGCUCCAUCUUGCCAGCGAUUUACGUCUUCAAAAAUUUCAGAGGACCAUGAACAAAUAUAUCAAAGAUCAAGCAUUUUCAUCUUUAAUCUUUAAUAAACUAGAAGUAGGACUGAGAAUCGUUAGUUAACAAUUAUGUUCACCCUAUUCUCAUGACAAUCAAAGGAAGGAUUUGUAGUAUUUCAUUCAAGUCAUGAUGUCCAUCCUACUCGCAUGUUUUUAUUCACAAGCAACUUAAUUUCACUUCAAAAUUGCAAUUAAAAUUCACUACACAAAUACAAAUUAUCACCAAUUUAAGAAACACGUUGAGUUUAUUUAUGCAAUUUAUUAAUUAUAUCUAAUCAUAUUCAUUUAAAAGCUACUUUGUUAAAACCUAGAAUAAAAUUUAAGUACCCAAAUCUAUGGUAUUAAUUAAUAAUAAAGGAGAAUAAUAAUAUAUUUACUUAUACGAAAACUAGUAAAAAAUACCAUCUGAAAAAUCAUCAAGAUAGUAAGGUGCAGCAGACGAAGCUCUUAUAGCUUUCCAUACUUGGUGCUUGCAACUUCCAAUGAAAGCACUGCGUUUAUAGCCAUCUUGGGCACUGGCCAAAGGUGAUCCAAACACAGUAAUUCCUGAACUGUCUGAAAUUGCAAGAGGUACCUCCGGUGUUCCGACAGGAUACUGCAAAAUUGUAGAAUGCAAUGGAGCAAUUGCUACAAUCAGAUCUAGGAUUACAGUUAAUACAAAGGAAAACAAGUUGCUUUAAUAAAUUGUGUCCGAAAAAAAACCAGAUACUAAAAGGUCUUAUUUAAAGUCUUCUUCUGAAAAGAGGAUUUUCUUUGAGUUGUUCAAGGAACGAAUUAGGAGCCUUGACUGUCCUGGCCGUUUCUAUUUCAUGUCUCAUUUCAAGUAUCUCUCUCUCUCUCCAGUUUUGUUAACUGUUCACUUAUUUCUUUAGAUUAUGCUUGGCUUAACUUAGACUAAACCAUUAUGCUUACCUUAAACCUUAAAUUGGAUUAGACCAUGCAACAUUGAUCCUAUUUGUUUCUUAUCGGAAGAGUCUGAUUGUUUUUUUUUCUUAAAUAUGAAUAACUUUUCAGUUUUCAUCGAGAUACGGAAACUUCAGGAAAACAACCUCCAAAGGGAUUAAAACAAACAUAGACAACUAAAAAUAAAAAUAGGCCAAUACACAACCCACCAAAAGAAAAAAACCAACUAAAAGCUCUUAGAGGACCAAUAACAUGGAAAAAUCAUUUCCCAUUGUACUAUAACUGUCUUGUCGUCCAUAUAAAAACUUAUCAGGAUAAAGAAAAAAACCAAUUAAAAUCUCUUAGAGAUUCAAUAACAGAUAAAAAUUCAUUUCCUUUUGCCAUAACUGUCCUGUUACUGGGCGUGGAAGAUAAAUUUUCAAUGUAGCAUAAAAUCCAUUUCAUGGCUUCUUUUGUAGCUGCCAGUGCUGAAAGGACUGCAUUUAGAAACAACAGGAAAAAAAUUCUCUUUUAUUGUGAUUGAACUAUCCUUUCGUCACAUGCAAAGAGAUAACAAUCAGAAUUCAGAGAGUGGAACAUAAAUUUUCAGUAUGGCAUAAGGUUUGUUUCAUGGCUUCCUCGUGUUUCUGCAUGCUGAAAAUCAUCUAAUGCAUAUUGUGGUUCUUUUCUUCUAACAUACAACUUCUGAGCCCUACUUAAAAGAAGAUAGAAGUCUUGAUCUCAAACCUGAUAAUUGCGGAAUAAGAAUGGCUGAGCUGGUACCAUGCUCAUCAAGGUUGACACAACAAAUACUUUCGGGGGGUUUCUAACUGCAGAUUCUAUUAAUAGGUCCCCAUCCUCAUCUGCGCACAUUUCCUUCAAUAGCCUCUCAAAUUGAUCAGCGCUAUGCUGCAAGACAUCAUCGCAAGAGCAUAUUCAAUCAGCAGCUGGUUGGUGAUAACAAAAUGCAAACAACAAAAGUUUACAUAAUUAUACAUACAUCCUAAGUUCCUUAACGGAAAGAACACGAUGUAUCUACAAUGUUUGGUCAUUUAUAAAUAUAAUUUUAAACAAUAAGUUAGAUAAGUGACCAUUAAAAAAGGCCUGUUGCUUUGCUUUUCAAAGAGCCAAGAAAAUCAAAUGCUGGGUUGACCAAUUCAACAAUAAUUUUCUUUCAGAAAGUUGAAAAUACAACAAGAGCUUCCCAAGCGGAAACACCACAGCAUACACAAAGUGAUGCAAGAAAUCAAGAAAAUAAUUACUUUAGAUCCAUGGACAACAACUCUGAAACUCUGUGAAGAACUUUUGUAAAGUUGAUCCAGCUUUUCUCUCCAGGAAGCAGCUUCACUGUCCUUUGGUGUAGGCUCAGCAAAGACGAGCUUUCCUAUAAUCCAAAAAACAAAAAAAAAGGAAGUUUGACCACAAAUUGAUGAAUUGCACAAAAUUUAAUCAUAGCUUAUCUUUGCAGCAUACUUACCAAGAUUUUUAUAUAUUUCUUCACAUUGAUCCAAAGUCAUUUGCUUAAUCCCCAGGGCAACAGCGAGCAUGCCUCCAGUCGAUGUGCCACAUAUAAGAUCAAACAAUUCAUGUAUCUGCCUUCCAGUCCCCUUCUCAAUUUCUUUAAGUAUUUGAACUGUUGCCAAACCUUUCAUGCCACCGCCAUCCAUUGAGAGUAUCCGCAGUCCUUGCUUUGCUACUUGUCUUCCUUUCAUGGCACGCCGUAAAUUUUCAUUCUCCCCUACCCAAAAAGAAAAGGGAAAAGAAGAGAAAAAAAAAUCAAAUUGAGGAAUGUGAGAACGUGAAUCUCAGACGUACAAAUUAAAUUUGAUAAAAAAAACACAAACCAAGGAUUGCUAAAGCUCGAGCUGCAGCUUUAUUCACACGUGGGUUAGGUGCAACUGUCAAGCGUAAGAGUAGUUCGCGCAACUUUUCAGAAGUAACUAGAAUGCGACGAUUGUCUAAGCAAAAUGCCAAGUUUCCAACUGUCAAUAAAGCUGCCCUUUGCACCUGCAGAAAAAGAUUGUGAGAAUUACAUACAAAAGAGUAAAGAAACAAGGAACUUUGGUUGACUGAAGAAUUUGUAGACUUGCCUCUGGAUUUUUCUGGGCACACAACAACUUCAGGGAUUUUAAAAGUUCCUUAGUCAACAUUUUCUGAGCUACAGUAUCAGAUGUGAAAGCCAACUUAGCCACAACGUGCAAUACAGAAAUUACUUCAUCCUGUGAAACAGAUUUUAGGACACUUUUAAUGGGCUGCAUUAUGUCUGCUUUCAUCAACUGCAUGGCAAUGGAGACAUCUGCAGCAAGAGAAGAAAGAGCAAAGCAUGCUUGUACAACCUGCCAUAAAUAACAACUGUUUAAAAUAAACCUAGCAGUAGAGUCUCAAUUUAAAAAAAAAAACAGCAAAAAGGAAUAAUCAGUUCAGAAACAUAAGUCUCACCACAUGACGGUUCUCACUGCUUAUCAUACUUAUAAGCUGAUGAAUUGCAUUCUCAUCUUUACUAAUAACUGCACGAUUUCCUUCAUCUUGCAUGAUUUUUGCUAGGGCAGAUGCUAGCAAAGGGUGGUGACAGGAAGAAAAACGGAAAAUAAGGGAGAAGAAGGCACUAAGCUUAUGUCUGGAUGCACCAAAAUAAGAGUUAUUUUCCAUCUGCACAUAUCAACAGCAAAAUCAAUCAACACAAAAUGUUAUGUCAAUCCUUUAUUUGAAUAUUUGCACUAUUGUGUUCAAUACUACCUCUAUUUGAACAUCCACAGAUCUCAAGUUUUCAUCUGCCACAAUUCUGAUAUUUGCAAGAGAAAGAUGGCGUAACUUGUGCAAUGGCAAUAUUUCAGGAAGAAAUUCAAGAGGGUUACCAAAUAGUCUAAGAACACGCAACUCAGCCAUAGCCCUGUCAGAAAGCUGGAGAAGAUCAUUAGACCCAAAAAAAAAACUAGGGAUCACCAAGAACUCUUUAAACAAAGGGGUAGUAACAGUGUAAAGUACAAAGCACGAAUUGCUGUUUAUCUAAAUAAGACAAAUAACCUGAAGUCAAGAAGAGGCCUAACGAGUUUGUUGUGUUCCAAUGAUAGCUCCACCAGUCCAACACACUGCCUCAAUUCCACUGCUCAAUAUUGUUUCAAAAAUCAAAUAAUACGGCAGGAGACUUGUCGAUGCAGCUCAAACUAGAGGCUCAUUUAUACUUGGUCUAAAUCAAGUUUCUACCAUGCACCAGUGCCCUUGUAAGUUUUAGAAAACAAUGCUUACCUGGUACGGAAACCAGAAAGUUGAAAUCAACUCGGAGCACUUUCAGAUUUUUUAUCUCACCAAGCUCAGGCGGCAAAACCGUUAGUUUAUUGUUUUCAAGGUAUAAUUUUUCCAGUAGUGGCAGUCGAGUUAAAUCUGCAGGCAAUGCCUGGAAUGAACACAAAGAAAUAUUCAUAAACUCAACUUCCAACCAUACUUCCAACGACCACAGCAUUCAUUCAAAAUGAUUGACUCAUAAGAAUGAUAACAAGAAGCAAUCAAACAUUAUUGAUCAAUCAAAAGGAGCAAGAAAACUAAAAAUGUCGCAAGGUCCCAUCGCUUCAAAAUACAAAAACUUGUUUAUACAAACUGGAAAUGCUGAUGAAAACCGCCAUUACAAUAAACAUGCUCGCAGAAGGAGAAGCCUAGUUGUAAAAUCAAUUGCCACAAACGCUUACCAACAAACCACAACCAGAAAGAUUGAGCAUGGUUACGGUUUUCCAGUGCUCGCCAAAAUCUAUCACUGCGUCGGCAGCCCCUGGUACCGUCGGUGCCAAACUCGACCUCAACAACCGCGUCAGAACGCCAACCCCAUCAUUCUGCUGCCCCGAUCCCGCUGACUUCGCCAUCGUCAUAGCUCUAAGAGGCUCCCUCCUCUUCAAAACUCUCAUAUCUACAUCCACAUUCUCUGCUUCUUCGCGGUACCUCAAUUCUACCUGCACAGCAUCCUGCGGCACCGGCAAGGCAACCAUGAGCUGAGACUGAAGCCUGAGAGCCACCUGAUCUUCAUCGUCCCCAGCCGACCAAUCCAAAUCAAUCCGAAAUCCAAGUUCCUGACCCUGCGUCAAAAUGGUUGUCGCUGCCGACGAUGACGACGAAGAAGAAGAACACGAUGAGGAGGAGGAGACACGAUCAGGAUUCUCCGCAUCCUCUUCCGAACCAUAAUUGAGUUUCAAAUGAAAAAUCUCAGAUGGCCGUUUCCAUCCGAGUCCCCAGGACAUUUCAACCAAAUAAAAAAUUAAUUACAAAUUCGUGAUGAUCCAAUCGAGCAAUGAGGAACCAAAGUCAAAUUGCACCUUGGUUCACGGCAUGAAUACCAUUGGUCUUAAACACCAGAAAGAAGACACUGAUUCCUUUCAAGUAGAAUCGAAUUUUCUCAGAAGGAACAACGGAGAUUGAUGACCGGAGAGAUAGUCGACGGACAUUCAGGAGAGGUCAUCGUUCAUUGUUCGACUAGGAGACACCAGAAGAAGCUGACACAAAACGUUUUCUUCUUAAGCCUUUCGGAGUUCCGAUUCUAUAUAUUCAUUUACCGUUUCCUCAAGCAAGCAUUCGAUUUUUGUGAAUAAUGUGACGUCGUUUAAGCUUCUCUCCUCUUAUCUAUCUCAAUUGACAUAUUUAAAUCAGUUUCACAAAAUAUAGGUAAUGUUUAUUCUUUUUCUAAUAAAGAUAAAAAUAAAAUAUAAUUGGAUAGAUAUUUAAUAAAUUAUAUAAAAAAAAUAGAACAUUUAAUUCCAUCCAUAUUCAUCCUCACAAAGGGGAGUAUAGUUAUUUUCUCUCUGAUCAUAAUAUUUUAUUGAUUAAUUAUAAUUGACUAAAAUUUUAGAAAUAAUAAUUAAAUAUAUAAUACAAUUUAAAAAAAAUUGUAAAUAUAGUAAAAUUAUAUUUAUAGGUAUUUUAAAAUGUUAUAUUUGAUUUGAAUUAAAUGGUUAUAUUUGCAACUAUUUUUAUUUUAUUAGUUUGGAGGAAAAAAACUAAAUAUAUAAUAUUUUAAAUAUAAAUUAAUUAAAAUAUAAUUUGAGUAUAAACGACGUAAAUGAAUAAAAAUAAAGUUGAAGAAUAAAAAUGAAAUAUUCUAUUUGAGAUUUGUUAAUAUCCAACCAUGGUAUAAACUAGCGAAACAAAGUUAGAGAAUAAGUCCUUCCAAAUUAUACUCUCCGGUCUAGAAGGAUAUUGAGCAUCGUUUUGGCUUCCAUGGAUGUCUCUCUGGUGGCUGCCCAUGGUUGUCCUGGCCUCAGUACAUCACUUAACCUGCCGCGCGAAGUGGCGCGAACUCGUGCUAAUCUCAGUGCUUCCAUUUCCAGCACUUGCUUUGCUGCUCUGCGUUCUUUUAGUUUUAAUAGUAAAGCGUUCCCUUGUGAAUCCUCAACAACAGACGUGAACGUUACACAAACUGCAACUAAUUCUGCAGAAAAUGGGUACUGCUAAUUUUCUUUCUCGUACCUUCUUCUUUACUAGUUUGAUUGCUAGUUUGAAUGGGAAUACUGUCGCUUAAUUAUGUUUUAAUAAUAGUAUAAAUGUGAGCUUAAGACUUGUUAUGUAAGUUGUUUGAUUGUUUUUUUCAAUGGUGUGCUGAGAGACUUCAUCUUUGGUCGUUGAUUUGGAUUAGGAUCUUGUUUUUCUUUGUGUAUUGCAUGUCUUGUGGUAAAAGUUGCAGAAUGAUAGCAAAAUUCAAGGUUGAGAAAAAUAAAGGGAAAGAGAAAAAAGAAAACCCAUGGCUGAUGGCUUAAACUUUAUGUGUUAUAUAUGGACUAUGGAUCGCGAGCAUUGAAUCCAUCUCCACCCGUUGGCACUUGAAAAACUCGUAGAUGGCGUCAAAACUUACCUUUUAGCAGCCCCAAACUUUCAAUUUUGCCUUCUACUGUCAGAUAAAGAAGAAUAAAAAGGUUUCCUGGCACCUUUGCUGAUUACUCUGUUAGAUGCUUGAUGCACUUGCAAUAAUCAUGGAUUCAUGAUUUGUUGUUGGAUUUUUUCAUUCUCCAGACCUCUGGUAUUGAUUCCCUUUUAUGAUUCCUUUAGGAUUUAGCAUGCUCCGAUUGAAAUUAAUUUCAGGUAUCCUCAAUAUCAUCGUUUGCUUCCAUGUACCUCAUUCAAUGUCCCACCACGAGUUGAACAUCUGGUCGUUUUGGAAGGGGGGCCUGUUAUGGAAUACAUCUCUAAAUCCUUGGAUCUUCCUCCUAUGUAAGUUCUAUCUUUUCGGUUGAUUAUGCAACAUAGUAUUAAGUCUACUUUAGACGAAGCAAUGAAUAUAGUUUCAUUGUUUGAAGGUAUGUUGCAGAUCUCAUUCAUUUUGGUGCAGUAUAUUAUGCCCUAGUAUGCCCACAGCCUCCGCCAACUGCAUCCUCUGAGGAAAUUAGACUAUUCAAAAAAUUUACACAACCAUCAUUUUUGAUAGGGCGAAAAUCUAUCAAGGGGAAAACCUUGAGAGAAGCACAGAAGACUUUUCGGAUAACUCAUAUUGAUGAGUUUGUGGAAGUUGGAACAUACUUACGUGUUUAUGUGCAUCCCAAACGCUUUCCAAGGUGAAAAGAACUACGUGUUUUUCUUUUCAAAAGUAAAAUAAUGUUUAUGAUGGAAUGAUGCUAGUGGAAAUUUAUAAUCAAUCAGGUGCUAUGAAGUUGAUUGGAAAUCAAGAAUUAUCGCUGUGACAGAUUCCUAUGUGGUUUUGGACAAACCUGCUGGUACAUCGGUCUGUGGUUUGAACGCUUGAACCAUUAAUCUCUGUCUUGUAGAAUUAUUUGCAUUGCCUUCUAUUUGUGGUGGCUGUUGGUAGUUGCAUUGUUUCUUCCUGAAACAUUCUGCGAAUAUCCAGAAUAGUAUAUGCAUUUUGGUAAUAUGGAAUUUACCUAUGUAUAACUGAUUACGUAAAUCACAACGCUCGUAGAGAAUGACAAAUUUUAUUUGCAUCAAUACCAUCUAGCGGACAUUCAUUUUUUAGCUGUUAAGAAUGACAAUUGUUCUGUCAGGUUGGAGGCACUACUAACAACAUCGAAGAAACUUGUGUAACCUUUGCAACUCGUGCUUUAGGAUUAACAUCUCCUUUGUGGACUACCCAUCAGAUUGACAACUGCACUGAGGGCUGGUAAUGAUGUUUCUUAUAGAUAUACUCAUGUCUAAAGUAAUGCCUCUCUUCAAAAUACUUAUUUUCAAUCAUUUACACUUUUCUGCAGCGUCAUUCUUGCUAGGACAAAAGAAUAUUGCUCCAUCUUCCAUCGUAAAAUCAGAGUAAGUUUCAUGGUCUUAUUUCUUGUGUUAGACCAUUGCAAUCACUCUUUCCAUAUUGUGGCAUAAUUUUUUUUUUUUUUGGAGGGGGGGGGGACCAUCUUCAAAUCUCUGUUCUUUCACUCAUUUUCCAGUCUAUCAUGUGUGUUGUAUUUUGAAUAUGAAGUAGUUAAAUAUUUCCACAUAUCUUCUUCAUUCUCACAAUACUAAAAACUAAAAUAUAAGAAUGCUCCUAUUAUUCUCUCUCUAAAUAUGAAGUCUUAUCUCUAUGAUAAACAGGCACCAAGGGAACGAGAGUGAAAACUAGUCACAAACAUUACAUUUGAGAUUUUCAUUUUUAAGCACUUUUCAACAAGGGGAACUGAAUAAGAGAAUUAAAAUGGAUUUCUAUUGUGAUGUGUUCAUGAUAAACAAAGAUGCACAAGCUGACAAGUUAUUUUAUUUUUAAUGGUCUUGGUAGAAUAUCCAUUAUACAUAUUUGAAAUUUUAGUAAAGUUGUUUGUGUUGAUGCUUUUCAUUUCUUAAUUUGAUACUAAUGCUUUACAAAAUUUUCUUUAUAGGAGAAAAAGGUUACGAAGCUUUAUCUUGCUCUUGUUGCGGUUCCCCUGCCAAAGGGAAUAAUGACACACUAUAUGCGGCCAAAUAAUUUGGCUCCUAGACUCGUUUCAAGAGGCAAGUUUCACAAUCAAGCAUUCAAAUAAUCAUUGGAUAUUGCUUUGAACUAUUUGUUCCAAUUUCUCAUAUUGGGGAACAUAUGUCUACAGUUUGAUUAUUGAUUUGCAGCCACAAACUCAAGCACCUAGAAAAUCAGUCAACUAUUCUUCCAGCAAAUUAACAUGCAAAUUGUCGUCCUAGUUAUUUAUAUUUUAACUCCCUCCCAACCUGAUGCCAAGAAUGGACACCUAAACCUUCAACCCUGACCACAAAUGUAUCCGUACCAAGGUGUGAUAGGCAGUUUACGUCUUUUGGUCACUUUAAACAUCUUCUUGCAGAUUGUAUUGACGGAUGGAACUUGUGUCAGCUUGAGGUGUUGGAAUGCAGAGAGGUUUCAUGGCCAGAUGCUGAUAUUGAAGCAAAAUACAGUAUUGAAGAUUGUGGGUGGCCCUCCAAAAAGAAAGCAUUUGAAUGUAAAAUCAACCUCUUGACUGGUCGGACACAUCAGGUUUGUAGCGUAGUAGUCUUUCUGUUUCUGCAAUUGUCUUUGUUAUUUUGAAACCAUCUUCAGAAACUCUUACAUUCAUUGUUCUUAAAAUAGACACAAUAUUUCCUGAUGAUGCAGAUUCGAGCACAACUGGCUGAUUAUGGAGCACCAUUGGUUGGUGAUUCCAUCUACAUGCCUGCAGCAGUUGCAGAGAUGGCUAAUCCUGGGUUGAAUCCAUUUGGAAAAUGUAAGAAAGAGUAUACAAGCGAAGAAGAUAAAGAAAAUGCAGUGGCAGAGUGGAUUGCUCUUCACGGAAAAGAACCAGCAGUUGCUAUUGGACUGCAGGCCUAUGAGAUUUCAUGGGAUUCAGGGGAGCACAUAUACAAUGCUGGUACUCCAUGGUGGAGGCAGGAACAGUUAUAGCUCGAUAUCGACUCCAAGCCAUCAUUUUGCAUUAGCCAACAUUCUCCAAAUCUGGAAGGUUAUUUCUACCACCCAAUCAGAAAAUAGUUGAGAAAGAUUCUAGGUUUGUUUGGAUUGACUUUCUAAAUGCUCAAAACACUUUUUUAAACAUUUUGAAAGUCAAUCAAAACAUGCCUUUUAAGUAUUUUGUAUUGCUUUAAAAUCAAGUUUACUAUUUACUAUACAUCUUAACCAGCUUAGUAUAGAAAGUUUAGGAACGAAAGUAACACCAUUCAAUGAUCAAAUCAGUCGUGUACAGGCAGUUACCUUAAUAAUUCUCAUAUAACACUGGGGUGCUGCUUGGUUAGAUCACUUUCCUUGACGCAACUGCGAUGACAUUGUGACCCAUCAAAGUUCGGAAAAGAAAGCUUUGGAGUUCUCUUCAGAGUGCGAUGAUAAUCUUCAGGUAAAGCCCAAACCUUUCUGUUUGUAUAUCCAUUCGCCCAUUCAAAUUUGUCCAGCAAAGACUUAGGGAAUGUUCCCUCCCACGUAUGCUCCUUCUCUGAGCAAGCACCGCAUUAUAUACUAUCGGGAGAAGCUUCAAUUCAACCAUGGCCGCACAAAGAGAAGCUCUGGUUUUGAAUUGGACCAUUGGAUGGAUAUAGUUAACUCAAAAUUUUUGUUUCUAUAGAUACUCUGUGCCUCUGUGAAUGUAAUCAAAUUUGAUGUUAUAUCUAUGAAUUCAAAAGUAUAUUCUAUGAGUGGUGUUCCUCGAAGCAUUAGAUCUUUUGUCCAGCCCUUCCUCAAUCAUGGAGUGAAACUUUUUUGGGGCUAAAGCCCUUUCUCUAAAAAGUUAUUUGGUAAUGAAGUUGACACACUACGGUUUGGGUAUGAACUGUUAGAAGGGUCAAUUUUCCUUUUAAUUAUUUUACUAAUUCAGCUCUCCCUCAAAGUAGUUAAUUGCUCCAGUGACAUCAACUCCCUAGAAAUUACCCUUUCUCUCAAAAUGAAAUUUUGAAUUUUUAGGUUCCUAUUCUGGAGAGGCAAUUUUUCUAUUUAUUUUACCAUAAAAAAAAAGAUUGUACAAUUUUGUCUUCUCUACGUGAAUUCAUUUAAUAUUAGUUUUAGUAUUUUUAAGUGUAAUUUACAUAAAUCUAACCAAAUCCAGAAUGUUUUUGGCCCGAAAAGUCCCUUUACGAUCAUUUUUUUUAUAAGUUCCAUACUCUGCCCUUGCGAUUUAUUUAUUAAUCUCAAGUCAUUUGGUUACAAUUAAGACCCGUGAUCGAAUAACUAAAUGUAAAAUACUUUCAUUUCGAGGUAAAGUAUGUUUUGAGAUCGGAUAAAAUAAAUGUAGAAUUCUUUCAUCUCGGUGCUAGUAAGGUUCGAGAUCUAAUAACUAAAGAAAAAUUCUUUUAUUUUAGGGCAUUGUAUAUUUCACUUGUGAUCAAUUUAUCAUAGUUGACUUGGAUAAUUUUGAUAUUAACCUUGUGGACUUUUUUCGUUUUCUAAAUUGUUCUAAUAUUUGAGAACUUGUUAUAUUUGUGAAAAAAACUUAUUUUUAAAUACAAUUUUGGUAUUUCUACGUAAAUUGGUUUAAUAUUAGUCUUAGUAAUUUUAAAUAUUUAAAUAUAUUUGUGGAAGUAUAACUUAGAAGAGAGAAAUUAUUUUAAAUAAUAAAACUGAUAAUUUUAUUUUUACAAAUAUAGAGAAUUUUAUUAAAAAUAAUGUGUUUUGUGUAAAUAUUUUGAAAAAUAGGGUUGUUUAAUAAGAAAUUAUAAGAAUAAUGUUGUUUCCAAAACUAUUCUAAAAAUAUGUGUCUUUUUUAAAUUGGACGAGUCGUGUACGGGGCACACGACUUCGUGAAUGUACAUGGACCCACGUGGACUGAAGUCGUGUACCAGGGUACACGACUUCCUAAAUAAUUUUUUUUAAAAAAAGUUAUUAUAUUUUAAAAGAUUAACUAUUUUUAAAAUAAAAACGUUUGUGAAAGACGGAUUUGAAAUUGAUGAACAAAAUUUUUUAAAUAAAUACUCAACCGAAAAAAUGGAUGAACAAAAUAGGAAGAGGAUGAACAAAAUAGGAAGAGGAAAGGUGAAGAUAGGAAGAGAAAAGGUGGAGAGAGGAAGAGAAAAUUUGAAAUUGGGACGGAAAAUGAAAUAGGAAGAGAAAAGAGGAAGAGAGGAAGAGAGGAAGAGGAAAGAUGAAAAGAAAAAAGAAAUAAGAAAUUUGAGAGGAAGAGAGAAAAAACGAAGGAAGGAGGGAGAAGGAAAGAGGGUGAGGAAAAACGAAGAGAGGAAGGAAAAAAAGGAAAUUGAGAACGAAUCAAGGAUUUUUAGGGUUCUUAAAAUGGUCGAAGUCGUGUACCCCUACAUGACUUUCUACAUGUGCGACACGUGGCUACACCAGUGAAUCGUUGACUCACCGUAUGGAAGUUGUGUACCUCGUACACGGCUUCGACCACUACGCGGCAAAAUGUGCCAGCUGCAUACACGACUCCAAUCAAAAAACGUGGGCCUGGUCCAGGACUCCAGUCAGAUACAGUAGGUUCGGUCCACGACACCAUUGGGAUUUAUUGAAGUCGUGUACCCGUACACGACUUUAGUCACCUACUUUUUAAAUUUCUUUCCCAACUACCCUAAUUUUGUAAAUACUUUUUAAAAACACAUUAUUUUUUAAAAAAAUCCCAAAUAUAGCUGUUGAUUUUAUGGAAUCAAUCUAUAUUUCAUUCAUUACUUAAUAGAGAUACAAGCCUAUAUAUAACCAUAGAGAAAUACACUUAAGGAAAUAAUAUCAAAUAAUAUCUCCAAAAUAAUAUCUCCAGAAUAAUAUCUCCUAAGAAUAAUCUAAUUAUAUUAAUACCUUCCCUCAAACUCAAGGUUGAAAUCACAAACUUGAGUUUGCUAAGAACUAAGAAAAGAAACAAUAUAUCUAGAAUAGAAUAAAAAAACCCGAAGAACAAACAGACAAAGAACUUCUAGGUUAAAACAAACCCACGAAAAACUUCCGGGAUAGAAACAUAGAUCCUCGUAUAGAGAUCUAUAACAGAACCUAGGAAGAACGAAACAAGAACUUCGGGGGGGCAAACUGAAAGAGCAAAACUGAAGCAAAGUAGAAUCAAAGCUGGACGAAAAUAGGGUCGGAAUUGGACAGAAGUGUUUUGUCGGAUCAAAGUGGAACCGAACGAACUAAACUAGAGCAAGUCAGAAUCAGAUUAAACGGGAAAUCUGGGGCGAACAGAACGGAAACUGAACUGAAUGGAGCAGAGAGGCUUAGCGGAUCUGAACAAAAACAGAAACGAGGCGUCGUUGGAUCUGGGCUUCGAUCUAAACUUUGAAGGCAGACAUGAAGGAUGGGUCUGAACGAAAUUAGACAGAUCUGGAACAGAUUGGAGGCAGACGCGAGGAUCUGAGGACAUGGGGUUUUAUGGUUUUGUUGGGACAGCGUAAGGAGAUGGAGCAACGGCAACGAAACGCAGCGGCGAGCGGAGCUUCUUGGACGACGGAAAAAACUGAAACUCUUCGGCUGGGCGUUCGGCUUCAACUGACAGAGGUUCAAUCGGUUGCUUGGCUAACGGAAAAACAAGAGGUCGGACGAAGAACUAUGAAGGAGAUGGCCGCCGCAGACGCUAGUGAAAAACGAAUGGGGUUUCUGGGGUUUGGAUGGUGGCAGAUUUGAACAGCAAUGAGUGACAAAGGGAAGGUGCAACGACAACGGCAAAUUUGCAGAUCUAAGGGGCGGCUUCAGCUAAUGGGAGAUGAUUCUGCCUCCGUUGAUGAAUGAUCAACGGAGGCAGAGAUCAAACGGGAUGUGGAGGCUAGAAUUCAAUAAGGCGAAAACCCUAGAGCUCUGAUACCAUGUUGAUUUUAUGGAAUCAAUCUAUAUUUCAUUCAUUACUUAAUAGAGAUACAAGCCUAUAUAUAACCAUAGAGAAAUACACUUAAGGAAAUAAUAUCAAAUAAUAUCUCCAAAAUAAUAUCUCCAGAAUAAUAUCUCCUAAGAAUAAUCUAAUUAUAUUAAUAAUAGCUAUACAAACAUUAAUCUAUAAUGAUGUAGGAAAUGAAAAAGAAAAUUUUCAAUUCAUUUUGGUAUAUUGAAAAGUGAAAACUUUGUUUAACGCUAGUUUCCCCAAACGUGUAAAAUCAUUUAUUGGCAAAUUUAGGAUAGCUAUAGCAUCAUCUUGGUCUCAUCAGCCCAUCCCAGCUCAAAGACUCCAAAGACUCCAUAGGAUGCUGGCUUCCAUGAAUAUAGCUCUGGUGGCCACCCAUGGUUGCCGUACCCUCAGUAGUACAUCACCAUCCCUGCUCCGCACAUUGGCAAGACCUCGUGCUAGUCUCAGUGCUGCCAGUUCCCGCGAUUACUUUGCUCCUCGGCGUUCUUUGGGUUCGAAAAGCAGCGCAUUUCCUUGUAAAUCCUCAAUAACAGAUGUUACAGUCAAAACUGCAACUAAUUCUGCAGAAAAUGGGUGCCGCUAAUUUUCUUUUCCUCAUUAUACCUUCUUGUUUAUCAGUUUGAUUGAUACUUUUUUUUUUUUAUUAUUUAUUUAUAUAUAUAUAUAUAUAUAUAUAUAUAUAUAUAUAAGACGUUUGAUUGAUAGUUUGAGAAGUUACACUGCUGUUUAGCUGUGUAUUAAUAGUAUAAAUGUGACAAAACGACUUACAUGUUUAAAUUGUUUUAAUGUUUAUUUAGUUGUUUGUGGGAAAUUUCAUAGUUGGUUCUUCUAAGAUUUCUGGUUUAUUUAAAUCGAUGAAUUGGGUUAGUAUCUUGUUUUUCUUGUGGUAAAAGUUGCAGAGUAAAAGCUAAAGUGGAAGGAAGAAGAAAAAAGAAAGUUUGUAAUAUAUUUGGACUACAAACUUACAAGCACUGAAAAUUUGCAUUAACUGACUUACUUGUUCGUAGGUCCAAUUUAGUUUGCCUUCUGCUGUCAGAUAAAAGGGGAAUAAAGGGGUUUCCUAGAACCAUCAAUUCACCACAGCCCAAAAGUUUAAGUUGAUGAGUUGGAAUAGAUAUUAAUUGAAAGGAAAUGACACUAUAAGUUUAAACGCAGAACUGACCUCCUACCUUGAUAGUAUGUUAAAUCAAAUCACCAUUCAAUUCAGAAGCUCAAGUUGAAUGGUGAUUGGAUUUUUUUCAUUCUCCCAACCCCUUGUAUUGGCUUCCCAUUUUAUGAUUCUUUUGGGAUUGGGCUUGCUGAGACUGAAAUUAAUUUCAGGUAUCCUCAAUAUCAUCGUUUGCUUCCAUGCCCCUCAUUCAGUAAACCUCCACGAGUUGAACAUAUGGUCGUUUUGGAAGCAGGACCUGUCAUGGAAUAUAUCUGUAAAUCAUUGAACCUUCCUCCUCUGUAAGUUAUACUGCUUUUUGUUGUUCAUAAUAAUUUAUUCUGCAACAAAAGGUCAAGUCUAAUUUGGAUGAAGCAAUGAAUUCAUGCUUUCAUUGUUUGAAGGUAUGUUGCAGACCUUAUUCAUUUUGGUGCAGUAUAUUAUGCCCUAGUAUGCCCACAGCCUCCUAAAACUGCAACCCCCGAGCAAAUUAGACUAUUCAAAAAAUUUACAGAACCAUCAUUCUUGAAAGGGCGAAAAUCUAUCAAAGGGAAAACUGUGAGAGAGGCACAGAAGACUUUCCGGAUAACUCAUGUUGAUGAGUUUGUCGAAGUUGGAACGUACUUGCGUGUUCACGUGCAUCCCAAACGCUUUCCAAGGUGAAAUCAGCUAUUUGUUUUUUAUUUAAUAAAAAACGAUGUUCAUAGUGGAAUGAUGCUUGUUGACAUUUACAAUUAAUCAGGUGCUAUGAAAUUGAUUGGAAAUCAAGAAUAAUCGCUGUGACAGAAUCCUAUGUGGUUUUGGACAAACCUGCUGGUACAUCGGUCUGUAGUUGAACACUUGAACUGUUAAUCUCUGGCUUGAGAAAUUACUUUCACUGCCUUCUAUUUGUGGCGACUCUUGAUUUUUGCAUUCUACCUUCCUGUGACAGUCUGAAAAUUUGAUCAAGAUUGACAUAGGCACUAGGCAUUUUGGUGGUAUGGAUAAAUUUACUGAUCUUUCAGUAACAUGCCACCUCUCAAGUAAUAAAAUUUGAUGAUGUAAACAAUAAACCCUAAUAGAGAAUGCCACCAUUCAUUUGCAUCAUUUUCUUUUUGUUAAUAAAACAAUUUAUUUACAUAGUACCAUCUAGCUGAACAUUCACUUCUUAGGCUUUAAGUAAGACAAAUAUUCUGUCAGGUUGGAGGCACUACUGACAACAUUGAAGAAAGUUGUGCAACCUUUGCAACUCGUGCUUUGGGAUUAACAUCUCCCUUGUGGACUACCCAUCAGAUCGACAACUGCACUGAAGGCUGGUAAUUAUGUUUCUUAUAUAUAUUUCUAUGUCUAAUUCUAAUUCCUCUAUUCAAAAGACUUGUUUUCACUCAUUUACACUUUUGCAGCGUCAUUUUUGCUAGGACAAAAGAAUAUUGCUCCAUCUUCCAUGGUAAAAUCAGAGUAAGUUUCACGGUCUUAUUUCUUGAGUUUGACCAUUGCGGUUAGCUUACUUUACUAACUGGUAAAAUUAUUUCCAAGACAAUGCUUAAAAGUGACAGCUCUAUUCCCUUAAUGUAAAGUAAAACUAUCUUUUUAGCCAUAUUUAAAUCUCUGUUUAUUUUCUCCUUUUCCAUUCUUUAUUUGUGUUGUAAUUUGGAUAUGGUGUAGUAAAAUAUUCCUGCCAAAUCUUCAUUGUGCUCACUAUACUGGUAAAAUGUAAAAAUGGUCGUAUUAUUCCCUCUCUAAAUAUAGUCUAAUCUGUAUGAUAAAGAUGUCUAUUAAGGGAACAAGAAUGUAGGCUAGUCCUUAGACUUUGCAGUUGAGAUUGUCAUUUUUAAGCACUUCACAACAAGGGGAGUUAAAAUGAAUUUUACUUGGCGAUAAUUCAUGAUAAAAAAGCUGCACGAGCUGAUGAGUUAUUUUAUUUUCAGUGGCAUUGGUAGACUUUCCAUUAAUCAUCAUACACAUUUGAAAUUUACUCGUUAAGUUAUUUUUCUUGAUGUUUUUCAUCUCUUAAUUUGAUAGUAAUGCUUUACAAUUCUUCUUAAUAGGAGAAAAAGGUUAUGAAGCUUUAUCUUGCGCUUUCUGCUGCUCCCGUCCCAAUGGGAAUAAUAACACACUACAUGCGGCCAAUUAAUAUAGCUCCCAGACUUGUUUCAAAAGGUAAGUCUCCCGAUCAAGCAUUCAAAUAAUAAUAGGCUGUUGCCUUGAACAAUUUGUUGCAAUUUGAUAUGUUGAGGAACAUAUGACCGUUUAAUUAUUAUUUUGCAGCCACAAACUCAAGCACUUAAAAAACUAAUCUUAGCUUUUCUGCCAACUAAUUAUUAAUAUACAAAUGGAAUGGUCAUCCCAGUCAUAUUAACGUUUUAACUCCCACCGAACCCGGCACCUACAAUCUCAACCCCCAAACGUAUCAUGUAUCCAUAAUAAGUAUUAGAUAGUAUGUGGUUCCAUUCAAAACCAAUUGUCAAUGAGAGGAGUCCCAUCUAUUUUAUAAGGAGUGUGAGGUCCUUUGAUUUUAUCAAUGUGGGAUUCUUCUGGGUUCACCAUUUCUUUUUUAUUAGACCGAAUACCCGUUUGGGUUUUUGAGGCUCUUAUACCAUAUUAGAUGUUUGGGUUUUUGAGGCUCUUAUACCAUAUUAGAUGAUGUGAGAUUUCAUCUCAAAACCAAUUGGCUACAAGAGGAGUAGUUCAUCUACCUUAUAAGAAGUGUGAGUUCCUUUGAUCUUUCCCAUGUGAGAUUUCCAACGAUAAAGCGUGCUUGGCAGAAGUUCUCUAGGUCGCUUUAAACUUUUUCUGCUUGCAGAUUGUAUUGAUGGAUGGAUCAUUUGUCAGCUUGAGGUGUUGGAAUGCAGAGAGGUUUCAUGGCCGGAUGCGGAUAUUGAAGCAAAAUACCGCGUUGAAGAUUGUGGAUGGCCCUCCAAAAAGAAAGCUUAUGAAUGUAGAAUAAACCUCUUGACUGGUCGGACACAUCAGGUUCUUAGUGUAGUCAUUCUGUUUCGGUAGCUAUCUAUAUAAUUUUGAAACCAUCUUCACAAAUACUGCAGGCAGAGAUGGGACAUUGAAAACAGUUCUUAAAAUGAAUAUGCUGUUUCCUCAUAUGCAGAUUCGAGCACAGCUGGCUGAUUGUGGAGCACCGUUGGUUGGUGAUUCCAUGUAUAUGCCUGCUGUGGUUGCGGAGAUGGGUAGUCCUGGGUUGAAUCCAUUUGGAAAAUGUAAGAAAGAGUAUACCAACGAAGAAGAUAAAGAAACUGCUGUGGCGGAGUGGAGUGCUCUUCAUGGAAAAGAACCAGCCGUUGCUAUUGGACUGCAGGCUUAUGAGAUUUCAUGGGAUUCAAGGGAGCACAGUUACAAUGCUGGUACUCCAUGGUGGAGGCAGGAACAGUUGUAGCUCGAUGUUGACUCCAAGCCAUCAUUUUGCAUUAGCCAACAUUCUCCAAAUCUGUAAGGUUAUUUCAACUGCUCACUGCACACACGGAAAAGAGUUGAGAAAUAUGCUCUUUAUUUUGUUUUGCUUUAAAAUCCAGUCUUUUGUUUACAAAUAUAUCAAAACCAUCUACAUCUAUAGCCAGCUUAGAAAGUUAAUAAUCGAAGCUAACAGCAUUCAAUUAUUAAAUCAGUCGUGUACAAGCAUUUACAUUGACAAUUCUCAUAUGGUAUAGGGGCGCUGCUUGCUUAGAUCACUUUCUUGGACACAAUUGCACUGACGUUGUUGCUCAUCAAAAGUUGAGCAAUGAAAUUUUUGUACCAAAAGGUUGAUAGCUUGGGUGUUCUCUUCAGAGUUGUAUAGUCUACAUGGCAAAGCCCAAACCUUUCAGUAUAUCCAUUCAUCCAUUCAAAGUUAUCCAGCAAAGACCAGGCAAAGUACCCUCUCACAUCGGCUCCUUCUCUGAACAAGCAUCACAUCAUAUACAAUCAAUACAAGUUUCAACACAAUCGCAUAAGGAGAACCUCUUGCUUUCUAUUGGACCAUUGGAUGUAUGUUAUUAGUUAGAUUCAAAAUUUUCAUUCUGUACUCCUAAUGUAUGUAAUCAAGUUUGAUGUUAAAGCAUGAAUUGGAAAGGAUGUAAUCUAGUGUUGUUCCUCUAAGCAUUAUUUCUCGUCUUUUCCCAGUCUCGUCUUUUGCAUGUCUCCUUAGAAAUUAUUGGUCAAAAUGACUCUGUUUCUGACUAUUUUACCCCUCCCUCAAAAUAGUUAGUUGCCCAAGUGAAAUCAUUAUCCAGCAAAGAACUAGUCUGUUUAGUAUUUAAUUGAAAGAUUUUGUUUCUUCAGGAUGGAAGAAAAGAUUUUGAACCAUAGAAGCUAAGAAGCACGAACACUUCAAUUUGGAUAAUGUGUCUGUGUUCGACACGUGUUGGACACUUGAACACUCUGACACUUGGUGGACACCUAUUGGACGCUUGCUAGUCCAACAAAUGUAUUAGACAUGCAUAGAUCACCUAUUGAUUAGAGUAAAAAAACACAUAUAUGACAAUAGUGAUAACAUUUGAGCAUAAAAUACAUCAAGUUAAGUCUUUUAAGCAUAUAAAUGCAUCAAUUCAUUUAGUAUGAAUUUUCUUUUACUAUAAAAAUGAUAUAUAUAUUUUUAAAAUGAAUAUUUUAAUAAACGUGUCCUUGCCGUGUCGAGUACUAGAUUUUUAGAAUAUGAUGUGUCGUCGUGUCCGUGUUGUAUCGUAUUCGUGUCCGUGCUUCUUAGCAUAGAUGGGUAGUGAAGUUUAUGGCAAAGUUCUUUGACCAUCUAAGCCUGUCCAAGAGAAACUUAACGACACUCAUUUUUUAAGAGAAAACUUAGAGAUUCUUUUUUAAAGAAUAACGUCUUUCUAAAUUUUCAUUUAUUUAUUGAGUUUUAAAUAUAGUAUGCAAUUAAAAUGAUAGUUGUUUAUCCGUUAUUUUUAAGAAGGAUUUCCCUUCCCAUAGGAAAGGCCAUGUGAAGAUAAUUUUUCUUUUAGAAGGGGAUGUUAUAAGGAGAAGGGCAAGAGAUCAUCUAUAGGCUAUAUCUUAGAUAUGGUGAGAGGCUUGGAUGAAGAGAAACAAAAUGAAAGGAUAUAUGGAAGACAUUAAAGAAGUGGAUGGUGCAUGUAGAGAGUAUUGUAGCACUGCUUAUACCUCAUUGAUGUUUCCAAAGCACCAAGGUAACUUCUCAUGUAAUCUAUUCUUCCGGUAUCAUCGAGUAAAUCUUCAGUUUGAUUAUUGGGCUUGUUCUUCUGCCCAUAACCUUCAUGAAAAUACCACAGUUCUUCAGGAGGAAAUGCCACAAAUAUAUCACCAAUGGUUUAGAUUUUGCCUUGCCUUCUAAUCUACUUACCAUUUUCUGUUACAAAUAUGGGUACAUUGUAUCUCUCCUUUAUGUAUGUAACCAUCUUGUUCAUUCCUUGAGGAUUGACAUAUAUCCAUGAAAUUUCAGUCUACAUCAAAAUGAAAAACAAGUUAUUUUGCUUGAUAUCGAUGCCACACGCUGGAGAACUGAACCUUUCAGAAUUACUUACAGGUUCUCCUAUUAAGAUUUCUUCCUUCAUCGGGGUCCAGAAAACAAAACCUUCUAUCUUAGAUGACCCCUGUCCUGGUUCACAGGAAGAAUGAAGGCAAUCUUUUGCAUAGUAACUGGUAUAGUGAUUAAUACCAAUAAAAUCAGCUCCAUUCUUCAACUUCUUUUGAUCUUCAGUUGAAAAGUUAGGCAAGUCAAGUCCCAGAAUUUCUUCCAUUACUGCUGGAUAGUUUCCAAAUACAAUUGGGUCCAGGAACCUUCAUUUGAGUUGUAAACAAUGUGACUUAUGGGCAAUUGAAUGAUGACUUUUCUCUUUUUGUCUUUUACAGGGGCCAUGAAGUGAUAUGUUAAAUGUGAAGGAAUUUAAUACAACGAAGGCAUUGAGUUUUUUACCAGUUCAUAUAGAAAGAGAGUGCUCUUUCACUUGCUAAUAUGUCUUUAAAUGAGUCGCUUAUAGGCUCAAACCACACAGCAUUGAUAACUAUUCCGAUUAGACCUCCUUGUUUGGCCUGCAAACAAGAUCAUUCUAAUUAAUAACAGAUUCUCUCAAGAGUUAAAAGGACAGAGGUUAUCUUCUUGAUAACUUGAUAAACAACUUACCUGAUAUUUGGACCGGUAAGUGUUGACCGCAGCAGCAUGGGAUAGAAUAAUAUUGUGGGCAGCUACAAAGGGUUCUCUUUCCGAGUCUCCGCUGCUGCAAUUGCCAAAUGAGCUCGAGCAACGGGAUGGAGGGAAAGUCCCUUUUCUGUAGCCACGAAUAACCUGAACAUUUGGCUCAUUGAAGGUAACCCAGUACUUGACUCGAUUUCCAAAUGACUUAAAGCAAAUAUCUGCAUAAUAUCUGAAAUCCUCUCUGAAAAUAAGAAAGUGUGAAGUGUUUUUUCAGUAUCAGCAGGAUUGCUGGGGGAAAUAUGUUCAAAACUUGAGUGGAAUUGGAUGAUUAUUAAUAGUUUGCAUCAUACUGGACUAGGGGACUCAACCAGGCUCCAUAUUUAUCUUCAAGUUUCUGAGGGAUGUCAUAGUGAGUCAAUGUCACAAAUGGUUCUAUCCCUGAAACAGAAGAAGACACAAAUGUCACAUAAAAUAUAUAGCAAGGACAGAAAAAUUGUGCGUGAUGCUUUGAAGUUUCUACGAACUUGUGAGGACAUUAAAUACCUCUUUUGAGAAGAGAAUCAAUGAGCUUGUUGUAAUGAUCAAUCCCAGCACGGUUCACCUCACCAAACCUUCCUUCUGUAGGUUCAUAAUUUAAAAAGAUACUAGUAAUUAGCCCAAGUCUAUUGCCUAGUUUUUCAAAGGAAAGUUUGUGUUUAGUAUAACAAGAAUAGGUUCAAUGCUUUAAAAGGCUAAAGUCCUCCAAUGGUUGCACGUUGGAGUGGAAUGGUAUGAGAUGUAGCCCUUAAAUAUAUAUAUGCAUGUAGAUAUGCAUUGUAUUUGUAUAUGUAUAUGUAUAUGUGUACACACAUAAAUAUAUAUAUACAGAUAUACGUUAUAGGUGUAUGUAUGCAUGUACAUAUACAUACACAUAUAUUGGCAUAACCAUGUAUAUGUCUAAGCAUAAUACUUUGCAUAAUACUCACAUAAAAGUAUAAAAAAAUCCAUGUCAUCAACCGUCCCUUAAAAAAAAAAAAACUUGAGUGUAAUCUUCAUUGCACUAUCCACAUAGUAGUAUACAAUAUCUAAUAGAAUCUACCAAGUGAAAAUUUAUUUAAUUUUUUUUCUUAUAUAUAAGGUAAAUGGGUCCAAUGAGAUUGGGUGCCUUAAUUAUUAUUGUUGUAACAAAAUUUUUAUCAUUUAUAUUUUCAUUAAUAGGAUUUGACUCGUUGCUAUACAAUUUUAUCUUUAAUGUUUUAAAGUCACAAUAGUAAUAAGUUCAAAUUGUCAUGUCUCAAAUCUUUCAAUCUUGUUCAUUUACACAUGGGAUGCAAAGAUAUUAAAUUUUAGUGAAUUUUUGUAAGGCAUAACACAAGAUAUUUGUUGCAAGUGAGGCCAAAAAUAACAUUCUUGCUUUAAACUAGCCUUAGCCUCAAAGGACAAGCUUCAAUUUUUUUUCAUUUUUUUUCUUCUAAAAAUUGAAUGAUGUGUGAGGAUUUGAAUCCUCCUUUAUUAUUGUUGUUAUUGAAUAAAAGAAGUUUGGAUCUUCAAUCCAAAGAAAUUAAAAUUGAAAACUGAAAAGAGUAUGUGCAAAGUUGGGUAGAAAAUGGAAGGCUUACCAGGUAGUAUUCUUGCCCAUGAGAUAGAGAAUCGAUAGCUGUUCACUCCAAUGAACUCCAUAAGAUCAAGAUCCUCCUGAUUUAUUUCCUCAUAAAUGUCAAACAAAAUUGAGAGUGAAGCUUGAAGAAAAUGAUAUCAAAUACUAACUUGAUAAAGAUGAUACUGAUCAACAGCAACAUCUCCAUUUGUUCCAUCCUUGAUAGUUCCUACAAAAAAAAAAAAAAAAGAAGUCCUCAUAGUUCUACUAAAAAAAAAAAAAAAACACCAAAAUGAUAACAAUAUUUAACCAAUCUAACCAGGCUCGUGAGUAAAAACAUCCCAGUUGCUAAGACCUUUACCAUCACUCAAGAAGGCUCCUUCAAACUAAAUCAAGUGAAACAAGAUUAGGAGAAGAAAAUAUGGACAGAAAAUAUAGCAGAAGAAGAACAAACAAAAAAAACAGAGUAACCUGAUAAGCAGAAGAAGCAGUUCCAAAAAGGAAAUCUUUUGAGAAUGAUUUUGGAUUUGAAACUUCUUGAAGUGGAACAUGGGUAUUAGAAGCAAUUAAAGGAGAUAGUAACACCAAAAUAUGGAGAAAAACUGGAAAAAAUGAGAAAGAAAACUCCAUAAUUGGAAACACAGAACUCUAAUUGGGCAAAUGAGAAAACGGAUUGUUUAAGGUUUGUGCAGCGGCAGAUAGAUAAAAAGUAUGGGAAAACGACUCCCCCUUUCAACUGAUUUUAAACUCAAUAAUUAUCUUUUAAAUUUCAUAACUAAUUUUAAGAAUAAAAAUUAAGUUUACGUAAACGAUAGAUAUACUUUUAUGAUUUAUUCGUGAUUGACCAAUACUUACAUCAACAGUCGUAUUCAUUUUGUAAUAUUGAAAAAACAUUAGGUAAAUUUAAGAAUUCUUUUGUAAAAAUCCUACAAGAACAAACACAAUAAUAAUAAAAAUAUUUUCAUAUAUAUACAAAAGUAUUCAUUUACAAACAUAUUAAAAUCUAAACAAGUCGUAGUAUAGAUCUACAGUUUUGGAAAUCUAAUUAACAAUCCACUAAUCUAUAUUUCCAAAAAAGAACAAAGAGCCUUAAAAUUGUUAGAAAGGUUGGGUAAUUGGUAUGAUUAAGGAUGAAGCUAAAUUGGAAAGUUGAUGAGAGAAAAAUAAAAAAAAAGAAAGAAAGAACAUUAAUUAGAAUAGAAAAGAGUUGAUGGUAGGGAUUGAAAGGAAUGGAGGAGAAAUGAAACUUUGUUCAUAAAUGGAACCAAUGUGGUCUCAUAAUGUUUGCAUCAUACCCAAAAGAAAAAAAACAAAUCAAACACACUUUUCUAUAAAUAUUCUCUUUCCUCUUUAUGUCCACAAAAAAUAAAAUGAACAUCUAAUUCAACUUGGAUAACCUUUAAUUAAUUCAUUGAUUUUUCUUGUUAUUGUUAUUAUUAUUUAUUGAAAAUUAAGUUUAUAAAGAGUAUUUCAAUCUUUUGAUUUUUAUGUCUUGUUGUUGAGUUCUUUAAAACAAUUUUACCCAAAAUUCAAAAGAAAUAUUGAGGACACCAAAACAAUAAAAAGCUUCAUAUUUGAUAUUUGAUAUUGGAUAUUUAUGAGAAAUAUUGAAAAAGGAGACCACAAAUUAGUCACAAAUUAAAUAGUGAAUUUAAUUGUUGUUGUUGCAACUCUCAUGAACGAUAUCUAUAAUUUCCCAUGUCUUUUGUUUUAAAUAUAUAAAAGUCUCCACAUUUUUUCUCCUAUCAUAAUUAUUUUGGAUCACUUCUACGAUGGCUGACCAUUUAAAUAUAUAAUCAUAUGUUGUAAUCAUUGAUAGCUGCUACCGAUGAAUAUAUAUCACUGAUAGCUACUAUCAACAAUAUCUUUUAAUCGGCAAAAUGUACCAUCGUUUUCAUUAAUAACUACUAGUAGUGGUGUUAUUAUUGGCGAUUUGCUUUCAAUCUAAAAAAUGUAUUAUCAAUUGCUAUCACGGAUAAGAUGGACAAGUGUUCACUUAAGAGUAUAUUUGAAAAUUUAAAAGUUUUACCAGUUAACACGUCAAUAUUUUCUAUGUUUACAAACAUUUUAAAACUACGCUUUAUUUUUAAAUUAUUUUUUCUUGACUGUAUUGUUUACUAUAAUUUUUCUUAUUUUUAUUAUGAUUGUUCAAAUUUCAUAUAUAUAUAUAUAUAUAUAUAUAUAUAUAUAUGGUUUUGGCUACGUUUUUAGAAUCUUUUUACAGCACGUGGGUGGGAAUCAAACUUUAAUGUGAUAACUUUAAAGUUAUCACAUAUAUUUGAUACUCGUCAAAUUAUCAUUCAUUUUGAAGAACAUAUUCCUAUUGGGUACUUAUCACAUAAAAUAGUGUGAAAUGUGUGUUGUUGAGUUAUUUUGUAACUAGUGAAGCCUGUUUAGUUUAUAUAUAUGAAUGGUAUGAUGUAUAUCUAAAACAUGAAGAAUCUUAUAAAGGAUGAUUUUUUCUUUGUUUGGGAAUGUAGAAUAAUAGUGUAAUCUUUUGGAUGUGUUGAAUUAUAGAUGUUGAUUAAAGAUGCUCAACCUGAUCUUUAGAUAUAUAUCAUGUAAGAUAUUGGUUGUUUGGUAGGAAUAUAUAAAUGCUUGAACCAAUAUAAAUGUAUAUUUACUAUGCAAAAUUUGCAGUAAUUUUUCUUCCCUCAAAGAUAUACUACUGUUGAUAGAUAACUUUUUUUCUUUAUUUAUUUAAAGAAAUGUUGACAUAUAUUAUAUAAAUAUAGAUUUUAAAAGAGAUCACUCACUCUCAUUUGGACCUCAUACACACUACAAAUAUCUAACAUACAAGGCAAAAAUUUCCACACAAGAAUGUGCACAACAAGAAACAUGUUGUUAAACCAAACUUAAUUUUCCCCUUUGUGUUUGACUUACAAAACAACCAAAGUCAAUAUAUCUAACUAUAGAGUUCAAGAUUGAUAGACAAAAAAGAAAAAAAACAACAACAAAACCAAAUCAUCAUGAUAUCAUCAUCUCUACAAUCACAAUCCAUGCACGAAUAAAAAGAAAAAACACCAAGUCCAAAAUGCAAAUUAAUUUAAUAAUUCAAUAACGUAGAAAAAGAACAUUUCUGUUCACCUUUCGACCUUCAACAAUCAGUGGCCGGCUAUCUCAACAUUUUAUCACCACGAUUAUUGGCCACCGCAAUGGACGACCACCUUGCAGCCAUCAGACAGAGUGGGGCAAAGCUUGUGAAGAUAUGCAAAAGCAUAAGAAGCCUCCUUCGAUGGAAAAUUGCUUUCCAACUUGAAAUACAGAUUGCGAGCUUCCAUCACCUCCAUAUCAGUCACUGUGUAAAAUUCAACUUUCCCUAUCUCCUUCAAAAAGCUCAAGUACUUUAGCCCUUUUUCUCUUUGGGAUUCUAGCCUGUAUGCAGUCACUUCCAAUAUAUACCAUAAGAAACAAAAAAAAAAACUUAACAUUCCUAUUAGUUCAAGUAGUAUUGAUAUCAUGUAAUAGCUAAAGACAUGAUUGCAAUAUUACUAAGAAAAAACUUGGGUGUACCUCGAGUAGUCUAACCCAUCAAUUGUGCAACCUUCUAUACUCUACUCAAUUAAAGUGAUCGACAAUUUAUUAUCUUUUUGUGUUAAAUUUUUGUAUAUAUGCAAUUGCCUCUGCACUUAAAUUUAUGAAAAUCUGUUAACUUAACCUCGAGUGAAUUUAAGUGAAGUAGUUCAAGAAAUGGUAUUUACUUACCCUUCACCUAUGGGAUGAGGUAUCAUAAUUUGGGAUGCAGAGUGCAUUAUUCCAUUAUCAGGCUGGACUAGGAUCAACCUCACAUCCUUAUCUUUUUGGAUGAAAUAAUGGUCAAGGAAGAGUCUCAAAACAUUUGAGGCACUACUCUCAAUGCAGCCCAGAAUCAGGAUAUCUGCUGUGCCGCCCAAUUUGUCCAUGCCUUGUCUCUUUGUCUCUUGAAAUUGGUUGGGCUCUUCAUCCCUAGCAACCACAAGAAGGCUGGUUUCCGACUUCCUUAUCAACUCUUUUUUUGCCUCUAAUACUGCUUGUUUCAAGUUUCCCUCUACCCAUUUCACCUGAUACUCACUCAACCAAAUAUUAAUAAUGAUCUAACCAAUAUAUUAUGUUCUUACCAAAAUAUAUAUAUAUAUAUAUAUAUAUAUAUAUUUUGAUGCAUCUUAUACCGUUUAAGCAUAAACAUACGAGACGGGUUUUUUAAAAAAUAAAAAGGUUUGACAAACUAUUAUAAUAAAUAGCGGUUAUAAUAAGUAAUUUUUCUAUAUUGCUAUCAACUUAAAAUGAUAUUACUAACACUUUCUAUCAAUGAUUGCAUUAGAAGGAUAUUACUAAUAGUAACUAUAAGCGGUCAUUAAAAGUAUAUUUUUCAUAAAGUGAUAUCUUCCUGCUAAACAUAUUAAUUUUGAAUUGAUAAAGUUUAAUUAGACAAUCAAUUGAUAUUUUUGAUAGUUACUACCAAUGGUAAUAUUCAUCAAUUGGAUAUAUCACUUAUAAUAUCUAUUAGUCAGGGCAACGAAAGAAUAUCACCGAUAUAACAUAUUUAUAAGUAAUAUCCCUAAUAGGCUACUAUAUAUCAAUAAUAUCAAUGCAAAUGCUACUCUAAAGAGAUCAGAUCAGCAUGCUAUGGAUAAUAGCUUUGAAUCACUAUUAACGUACUAUAUCCAUGUGAUACCUUCUAUUGCUAAUAGUAUAAAUGAAAUUGAUAUAAUUUCAACUUUUGUUUAAGUAAAUUAUUGAUUUUAGGUUAUUCUAUCAAUAUUUAUAUCAUUUAGAAAUUUGAUAUUCAAGUUAUCGGUGAUAAAUUCAUGAAAAAUAUGUUAGCAUAUUAGACAUGAUGUCACUAAUAGAAAUUGUUGUGGCUGAUAGUAUGAUAUCAAUGAUAGUUCCUGCGUAAGAAUAAUAAAUUGAAGGACAAAAUUGACAUUUUAAAAAAAUACCAUAUGACUAACGGAUAAAAAUUGCUAUUUUUGCAAAUAUUUAUUGUUUAUUUGUAAACUAUAUUUAUUUUCUAAUUUGUGUUGUAUGGUAUACAAUUUUUAGCUGAGCUAAUCCUAAUUUAUUGAAAAUUCUCAAUUUGGAUAUAUACUAAAUAGUUAUUGAUUGUUGAUUUAAUUUUACAAAUAUGACGUAGGAUGUGUUAUAAUAUUGUUUAGUGAAUCUCAAUUUUAAAUUAAAAAGAUUAGUUAGAAUGUCAAGUAAUUAAAUGCUUAGUUGGUGUGAUUGUCAUCAACACCAAACCAAAGUAGACUUUUUUCUUCUUCUUUUACUUAAAAGUAGAUAUAUUAUCCAAUUGCUUUUCUAUAUUCAAUUCUCUACUAUUGUAGGAAAAUAACGUUUAUAAGAAAUUGAAUCAAACAAUAACUUUUUUUUUUUUUUUUUGGAGAGAACAUAAAUGAAAAGACUGCAUACAUAAAAUGGGAGGAAUUAAAUUCGAAUUUUUUAUAUAGUUGUAAAGGUGUCAAAAUUUUAGGAGAGUUGAAUAGCUAAAAGCUGACAUCUAUCAUAAUUUAAGAGUCACAUUGAGAAUUGAUUUUAAUUGAUAUAUGAUAAUUUUGGUAACCAUUAAGAUUCUCUCCUUGUUUAAACGUGAUCUAAAGUGCAUAAUUAAAUGAUCUCAUCCAUAAUUUUGGUUAAAAAGGAUAAUCUGAUUUAAACGUACCUGAGCACCUAACGAAGUGAUUAACUGCAGAUUUAAAGACUGCUUAUUGAUAUCUUCAGAUCCCAUGAAAAUGGUGCAAUCUAAACCAUGUCUGUGGCAAGCAGCUGCAGUGAUAAACCCGUACAGCUGGCCUUGGCUGCCCCCAGUGGCCGCAAUCACGCUCUUUCCCUUGCGCUUCGCGGCCAUAACCUUUAUGAUGACACUGCUAAUGAUCUUGUGGUCACGAAACGGGUUGAUCAGUACAUCUCGAUCUCUUUUUAUGUAAAUUUCAGGACCCCUUCCCUCUUCGUUUCUGUACUGCUUUGUUAGUCUCUCCGCAAAACACACCUCCAUCUCUCCCCCAACGAAAACCCUCGUCUCCUCCACCACCUCCUCCUGCAAUUACGCCAAAAUCAUUAAAAUACCAUUUUCAUUAUCCUAAGUUUGUUCAAAAGGACCGUUGAUAUUAUUAUGUUAUAGUAAUUGGAUUAAAAGUAAUAACAUAUAUAACAACUUCUUAAAUAUUUUACAAAUAUAACAGAAGCCGUAACAUUUUAUAUCAAUAAUAGAAGAUCAGUGAUGGCAACAUCUGUUAGUUCAUUAACAGUUUCAUAAACUUUUCUUAGACUUUUCUGUAUUUACAUUUUAAUUUUUAAAAUAUUGCUAUACACUAAAUUAUUAUUAUCUUUAGAAUUGAUAUUUGUUAUCUCUAGUUUAAUUUUCGUCUUGUAAUUUUGACAAGUUUUUCAAAAUCAAAAUUAAUUAAAUAAGUGAGUAAUUGCAAUAGAUUGUACUUUUAGGACGGAUAAUUACGUGUGUAUCAAUUUUUUUAAAAAAAAUCUCGAUAUAACAAUAUUUAUCAAUCAAUGACAGAAUUCCAUUAGCUAGAGACAAACUCUCACCAAGAAUAUCAUCUUUUAUUUAUAGACUUUUGAGAGUUGGAAUGAAAAUGUAAAUCUCUUAAUUAGUAGAUAAAUAUAUUUUCAAGAUUUAGAGUAAACAUGUUCAAUCCAACAAAUUUAAAAUAAAAAAAAUAAUUAAAAGUCUUUAUAGUUAAUUAAAAGUAUAUAUAAAAAAGGGUCUUUUUAUUUAAAAUAUAAAAAACGAUUGUUUAGAUUUAGUUGGAACCUUUUUUUAGAUAAGAUUGAAUCGUUUAAAUUUGGGUAGUCAAAUCUAAAUCAUUUUUUCAAAACAUGUUUGAUAGAAGACAACGAGUUGUUUGUACACAAUCUGACUAUUUUUGGUAUUUGGCUAUCGAUAUUUUAACUAUUUUUUCAUGAUCUUUUAUAUUUAACACAAAUUUGAAUCAAUAGCUAUGUGAAAAAAAAAUUGAGUAAAAAAGACAAUGAAAAAGAAAAAGAAAAAAAAGACAACAAAAGAGCAAACCUCAAAUAUUUUAAAAAAUGAGCUGACUUCAUGUCAUUUUUGUUACACCCUGAAUAUAUUAUAAUAUUUAUGAAAAAUAAUCUAAAAAAACUUAGAAUAUAGGAAAAUCUAAAAUUGAAAUUAACCUCAAAGUAAGAAGACGUUAUUUUAACCUAAAGGUAUAUUGUAAUGUAAUAAUAAUAAAAAAAAAUUGCAAUGAUCAUGGACCUGGAAUCCGUCGGUGUAAAAAAUGUCAAAUUCGUCAUCCAUCUGUUUAGCUACCAUAUGAAGGAUUCUAGAAUCCAGCCGCAGCUUCCCAUCGAAAUUCCCAGAAUUUCCUAAUACUUGCAUCUUUGUUUUUCCCAUAUUCCUCUUUGUCGUCGAAAAAGUGUCUAAUCCAAUUCCUUUCCCAAGCUUUACAUGGUUUGAUCUCCAUAUGCCUGUGGCCCCAACUACUUGGUUGGUCACUGCAGCAUUGUUCACCAUAACAACGCUAAUGCAUGCCAUUUUUCUCGCUAUUAACUCUAACCAAAAUUUAAAAUGGAUUUGAACUAUGUGACAAACGAGGGACACCGGGAUUCGUAAUAUAUAGAGUGAGGAAUAUUUUUGUACCCAGUCCAACUUCAGUUUGUUGCACACAGAGUGGAAAAUAGAUGGAAAUUUCAAAAGAAAUAUUAGUAUGAACAUAACACGGUCAAUGUGUGUGUACAUGUAUUUAUAUAUAUAUAUAUAGUUUAGGUAUAUAAUAAAUUGAAUCUUGUUUUGUCCAAUGUGUUUGGCCUCAGUCAACCAUGGCUGAGUUCUCAACUUAGAAGGGAAUUAAUAGAACCGUCCAUUACCAACCCCUCAAUCUCCCAUAUAUACAUAUAUAUAUAUAAUAGGAUCCCUAUAAUUUCUUUAGUUUAGCACAUAACGAGGGUGCUUAGAGUUGUGCGAACCUAAUCGAGAUAUAUGUAUACGUCUAUUGUUUCUCUCUUCAUUUCUAUGUUGGGUUGUAAAAAAAAUAUAAAAGUUAUACAGUUUUAUUCUACUAUUUAUGUGAGAUUGACCUUUAAAGGUACGUGAUCUAUAAAAAAUUAACUUUUUAAAAUCUAUAUUUGUUGAGAUAUAUAAGUUUAUCUGAACAAAUAUAAUAUAUAUUUACUCUAAACAGAAAAUAUUAGAUAACAUUUCUAGAACUAUUUGAAUGUUUGGAGAGAAAAAGGAAAACAUUUAUGUUCAACUUUUAACCUUCACGCCUCAAUGAGCUCUUACCAUUUUAUCACCACGUCCACCUUGCAGCCAAGCAAAGCGAGGCAAAGCUUGUAAAGAUAUGCAAAGGCAUAAUUUGAAUCAUUCUUCAAUGAGAAUAUUCCUUCCAACUUAACAAUUAACAACAUUAUAAGCUUCUACUGCACUUUCAAUUUUACCUGUCUCUCUAAAAAAGUUCAACUACUUUAGUUUAAGCUUUCAAGUCAAUCGGUAAUUUAAGAUAAUAUUAGGAUAGGUAAUCAAAGAAGGUAAUGUUAUUUUCUCUCCAAUUAAAAUUAAUUUCCAUUUGGCUAAUUAAUUAAAAUGUUUUCACACAAAUGUAUGGUACAGCAAGUGGAAAAGGGAUGACCAUGUGAAUAUAUGUAUAUUAAGUAUAUAAUAAAUCCGAUAGUUUUGUCCAGUGUGUUUGGUCUCGGCCUACCAUGGCUGAGCUAGGUCUUAACCUAGAAUGAAUAGGACAGUUACCCAACUCUUCAACCUCCUAUAUAUUAUUAUCUACACAUAAUAUAAUAUGUACUACAAUUUUAACUUUUAUUGAGAGUUUCAUUUUCUAAUAUAUAUUGUUUGAUGUUUGCUACAAAGAAUGGUGAUCAAUGCAACUCUAUUUUCACAUCAAACUAAAUUAUUAAUUAAAAACUACCCACGUUAUGAAGGUUUAUAGUUAAGUUGAUGCGAGCUUUAAUACUUUUCUUCAAUUGUUGUUAACUUGUUCCACGUGUAUGGCCUCAGUCAAGCAUUGCAGAGGUCAAUGCAAAAGGAAGAAAAUGAGCCUCGUCAACUCCUCGGCCUCCAUGUUGAACUAAAAAUAUGAUAUCAACAUAUAAGCAAUAGGUAUGCAAGUUUAAAUUUCAAUUGCAUUUGGUUUAAAAGAGAGAUUCUCGUUUUUAGAUCUUUAUGUAUACUUCACUUGAUCACAAAUUAACGAAAGAUUAAUCUUCACUUUUGGUUUUGAUUGUGUCGGUAUUAGUCUUUGUUAUGAUGUGAGGAGGAGGGUAGAUUUUUCUCAUAUAUCUACAAAUAUAUUAUGAUGAUAUAUAUUUUCUAUAUUUUGGACAUUGAACACAUCUCAUAACUUUAUCUUUCUGUAUUUGUUUAGAAUUUACAGUAUCUUUUAUCUUUGAAUGAACUAAGUUAAAACUUAAACGAAAAUAAAUAUUUUAAGAGAUCACAAAAACCAAAACAAACAAAAAUGGAGAGUACAAAUAUGUGUAUAUUUAAUUCAAAGUAGUAUUAAGAAUAUUAUUGACCAAUAAAAUUAAAUAAAUAACAUGUCACAUAAAAUUUUUUCAAGAUAUUAAAAUAAAAAUUUGAAAAGAAAAAGAAGAGUAUUACCCUUCCACACAUUCUCAAAGGCUAUUGUUUGCUCGUUUCUUUUUAUGAAUAAAGUUAGCGAGGGGACAGGCCACUGUAUAAUCACACGUUGUACAUCAAGGUGAUUGAUGUGCAAUUUGGGGUCAUAAUUCUUAGAGCACUAAUUUAAAAUCAAUAAUAAUUAGUGCAUUCCGUCAAAUAUGAGCGAACUUAUGUGGAUGAAAUUCCUACAAAAGGAAAAUACAGCAGUCUUAAGGUCCCUUCAAGAUAUUAUUAAAGGUGUUGAAUGGUUUCUCCCUCACAUUCAGUUAACAAUGGUGAUAGCCUCUCUUUUUUGGUAUGGUUCAUGGCAUGACAACAGCCCCCUGUCUCUGUAUAGGCCUAGCUAGAUCAUAUGCUCUAUCAAACAAUAAAUGGGGCUCUAUUAGAGAGAUGUGGAAUGCUUCUGUUCUUGAUUGGGAUCUCCAUCCGAGAAGAACUUUGAGGAGCUUAGAAUUACAACAAUGGAAUGAAUUGAAGGCUUCCCUUACUGCCCCCCAAACACAGUCGCGGCCAUGAUAUAACUAUAUGGAGACUGAAUUCACAAAUGGUCUCUUCACUAUUGCUUCUAUUAAAAAAGCUAUUUACAUCAGUGAUCAAAGAGACUUGAAUAAUAUUGACCCUACUAUAUCUUUAAAAAUAAGUGGAAAUCGAGCCUCCAGAGAAGGUGCAAAUUUUUUAUUUGGGUCCUUCUCCAGGAAUGCAUCAAUAAUAUAGCUAACAAACUACCAUAGAAGACUUUCUAAUUGGUGCAUGAAUCCAAACCGGUGUGUUUUUUAUGUAAAGAGGCCGUGGAAGACAUCAAUCAUCUCUUCAUUUCCUGCAUCUUUGCUAAAAAAUUAUGGAAAAACAUGGAUGCCUUGUUAAAUUGGAAGAACAACUUCUAGAAUACUACCUCUCUAUGCAAGUAUAUCUUCCUAUCAACACAAAAAGUCAGGAAAGAUUCCAUCAUCUUCAACACUGUGGCUGUGAGUCUGUGACUCAAUGGUCUAUAUAGACGGAAAGAAACAGUAGAAUCUUCAAUAAUUGUGAAAAAUCUCUAGUUGAGGUUUGGGAAGAUAUUCAAGCUCUCCUAGGCCAUUGGUUUAGUAGAUCCCUCAUUCAAAUUACUCUGCUAGCUCUAUAGCUAUUAAUCUCCAUGCUUUGGUCUAACUUGUAAUGUUAUUUGGGCUUAUCUCUAGUACUUAUUUUUAUGUUUUUCUCUUAUUAUUAAUGAAGUGGCCAAAAUGAUGAUAGUGCUAAGAAAGUAUCCGUCUAGUGAAAAUAUGUUGAUGCACAUUUUCUAACCCAAAAUUCGUAUUUUUUUAAAAAUAAUUUGUGCAUUCAAGCUUUUUUUUUUUGUUGGUUUUUUUUACAUUUUAGAAUUAUAAUGUGCUACAUUAUAAACGUGGUAUAUUAUAUUGGCUUAGCUGUAUUAGUGCAGUAUAAUGGCUAAAGAGAAUGCCCAACGUUUAGCAUAGUGAUUUUUUUUUUUACUUUGUUAUAAUUCUUUUCCUCUUGUUUGCAACUUUUUCAACAUUAAUUUUUGUAUUCUUUUAUCGAUUUCUAAAAUAAUGAUGACAAUCAUUUCCAUUUAUACUGGUACGAGACUUUUUUAGAGGAAUGAUAAUCAUACACCCAUAAAGGAUUGUAUAUAUACAAACUCUAAUAAUUAAUUAGUCAUUGGUUGGAUGAAAUCUAAAUUGAUUCUUAUCUCUUUUGUUUGUAUAUAAAUGAAAAAUAAGCAAAAACAAUAAUAACAUAUUUAUUUACAAGAAAUAAUAUUGAAAAUGAGGAAUUAUAGCUAGUGGUUGUGUUGGUGAUAGUUGAAAACAAUGGCAGCGUCUUUAUCACCACGCCCACUGCAAUUGACGACGACCUUGCAACCGUCGGGCAGAGUGGGGCAAAGCUUAUGAAGAUAAGCAAAAGCAUGAGAAGCCUCCAGCGCUGGGAAUAUGCCUUCCAGCUUGGCUAGGAGUUUGUAAGCUUCCACUGCCUCCGUGUCCGACGCCGUUUCAAAUUCAGCUCUUCCACUGUCUUUUAGAAAGCUCAGUUCUGGCCCUACUCCUGGAUAUUCUAGCCUGCGUUUGUUCAUUUUGAAUACCCAUCAUUAAUAACAUUAGCUAUGCUAAGAUCUUUCAUUCUAGAGAUAUAAGAUUUUUAUCUCCUUGUCAACAAUGUUUUACUAGGCCUAAUUAUUUGAAUUCACUGUCAGAUUGAGCUUCAUUCAAAGGUAAUAAUCAAGUUGGGUAUUUACACACACGAUUUGAAAAGCAUUUCAUUUUUUAAACUUUUAGUUUCACUUUAAAAAGUUUUGCUAACUUCAUAUAAAAAAAAAGUUCAGAUGUUUUUGAGUUGCACUUAUUUUUAAUGAGCUGAAAAACAUGCACAUUUUUUUAAAACAAAACCAAAUAGUUAUUGUCUUUUUUUUUUUCUUUUUAAAAUGAGACUAAUUAAAAUGUCUUAAAAGGUAUCAAUUGGUGUCCUUCCCAUUUAAGGGAAGAACACUUUUCUUUAUGUAAGAACAUGAUGUGACAUUAUAUAUGUCAAGUCACCAUCUUUGUCAAAUGUGAUAGCAAAAACAAUUAAACAAAAUUGAUUCGCAAUAUAUAUUAUAUUAAUAAUAUACACCCUUCCAACAUGAUCUAUAAAACUUACCCUACACCAACGGAAUGGGGGUUCAAAAUCUGGCCUUCAUCGUCUUGCAAAAGGUAACUCAAAGCUCCAUGGUAGACCCCAACAUGGCCUUUAGACAAAGUUGCAGAAUGCUUUCCACUAUCCAAGCCGAAUCCGGCAGCCUCCACUCCGAUCAGCCUAACAUCUUUUUCAUUAAUGAAUUCAUGGAAGAGUCCCAAAGCAUUUGAGCCACUACCAAUGCAAGCCAAAAGAACAUCUGGUUUGGCUCCCCAUUUUUCCAUGGCUUGUCUUCGCGUCUCUUUACCAAUCACGGACUGAAACUCCCUAACCAUGGCGGGACAAGGAUGUGGACCCACCACUGUGCCCGUUAAAUAAUAGCUCGUUUCUAAGUUCCCCACCCACCCUCUUAUUGCCUCUGAUGAUGCGUCCUUGAAAUUUCCCUCCACAGCUUUCACCUGACCCACAGUAGAUAAGAUAUGACUAUUCAAUAUCAUAUCACACCCUCUAAAUAAUAAUAACACACAUUUUUUUUCAAAUUCAGAACUCUCUAUUUCCGUAUCUUACUAAAUAGAUUCUUUCUGAAUUAUUAUAACAACAACAACGUCCACAGUUUUUGGAUUGAAUACUCUAAAUGAUAAAUAACCUUCUAGUAGAUUCUCAAUUUGGUCAAUAAUCAUUUAAAAAUGUUUUUAAUUUAAAAUAGAAAAUCUGACUGUUUGAGCCCGCUAUCUCUCCAUUUGUCUCAAAAAACAACCUACUUGUAUCAUUUGUACGUUGAAAACAGGAAAUUAAAUUUUACGUAGAACCACUAUAGAUUGAAUUAGUGACAUAUCUUAGCCCUUUAUCAAGGUCAAGCCUCCUGUUUACUUAAAUCCAUGGUGGUUUAAUCUUAUGAACAUUUUAAACUCCUAGUCUAUUGAAUAUUCUCAAUUUGAUAUAGUUAUGAACACAUGUUUCUAUAUUUAAUGUUACAAAAGAAUAAUAGUAUGUAAAAGUACCUUAGCACCCAGCAUUUUGAUUAAGAGAACAUUUGAAGAUUGCUUUUUGAUAUCUUCAGUGCCCAUGAAAAUGGUGCAAUCUAAAUCAUGUUUGGCGCAAGCAGCUGCAGUGGCAACGCCGUGCUGUCCAGCCCCAGUGGCCGCAACCACGCUCUUCCGCCCCAUGCGCUUCGCAAUCAUAACCUGUGCGAUCGCAUUGUUCAUCUUGUGCGCACCACAAUGGUUCAAAUCCUCUCUUUUUAUGUAUAUUUCAGGUCCCUUUCCUUCUUCGUUUUUGUAGUGCUUUGUUAGCCUCUCCGCGUAAUAUAGCGGCGUUUCUCGUCCAACAAAAUCCCUCAGCGCCACCUCCAGCUCCUCCUGCUCACACACACACACACAACCAUUUACUUCAAUUAAUUUCUUAUUUCUCAAAAUAAUAAUAAAUUUCUAUAUAUUGAAGAUAAAUUUGAUAGAUUCAAAUUAGUCGGACAAAAAUGUUAUCGGACAUUUUUUUAGUAAGUAAUAUUUGUGGGUGCAUAUCCCAACAUCCACCUAUCUUUCUGUGUGUUUCACUCUCAUCACACCAAGAAAAAAUGGAUUAAAAUAUUUAAAAAGUAAAAAAGAACUUACAUUUUAAAAUAAGGUCUUAGAGGAUGCAGUGAGAUGUUGAAAGAUAGGGAAGCCCUAGAUGCACUUUUGGGUAUCUUCCUUUUUGUUUUUUAGAAAUAUGGUGAAUUCCUUAGUCUGCACUCACUUUUUUGUGUCUCACUCUUGAGUGUAUAAUUACAAAAGCGACUAUGUGACAAAUUCUUGUUUGUUAAAAAAAUAUUUUUCAAGUUUGUAAUCGAAGAAGAUGCAUAAAUAUGGGUGUAGCCAUGUGCAGCUAGCACCAAAGUAUAGGAGUUAGAGAGGAAAAACUAGUGUAAUAAAGAACGCAAAAAAGUGAGCAAGAAAAGCAAUAACUAAUUCAAAGUACCCAACAAAGAGGAAGAAAUAAAAAAAAGAAAAAAAGAAAGUGUUAAUUUUGGGACCUGGAAUUUGGAAUCGUUUAAAACCAAGUUGAACUCAGCUUCCAAUUUGCCCAAGCAAGUGAUUAGAGAUUCAGGCACAAACUUGCCACCAAAUUUUCCAAACUUUCCCAACUCCCCAAAUCCUAAAUUUUGGGACUUCUUGGGGUCAUCAAUCACAAGCUGCAUCUUUAUUGUUCUCAUAUAAUUCUUGUUUGCUGUGGCCAAAAUGUUUGGCCCAGUUCCUAAUUUACCAACGUUUACAUGUGAUUUGGCUACUAAUUGGUUGGUAAUUGCAGCAUUGUUCACCAAAUUGCAGGCCAUUUUUAGGUGAUUUUUUUUUUUUUUUUGUCUUAACAAGAGCGAGGGAGAAAAGAGAAGAAGAGAGAUAAGGGGAUUUGAGUUUUAAGUGUUAAAUGAGGGACAUGAAGAGAGGUUGUUUAUAUAGACAAACUUAAUUACUUUUGUGGCAAAUGUUGAUACAUGGCAAGUGGGAACAUAAUUUCAAUUCUAUUUGUCAAUGGAAAUAGUAUGAAUAACUAACAAGGAAUGAGCGUCAACACAUAAAUAAAUUAGGUACAUGAUCCCAUGAUUUGAUUUAGAUCACGACAUAUGCCUGAACUUAAUUUGUGAAAUGAAAGAGGCCUUCUUAGUACAACUGUUCUUCAAAAGUAUAGGUGUUGGUUGAGUUGUAUCUAUCUUUCUAUAACGAUCUUAGCAUGAUAAUUUAUUUUUUUUAGAAAAGUAAUAAUAUUACCAUUAUUAUUUACUAUUCUAAAAAAAUAAACUACACUUAGUAAUAUCUCUUAUAUACAUGAUAAAAUUAUUACCUGACACGAAGUUUCAUCUCAAAAUCAAUAUGAUCAACUAAAGGAAUCUCCUCCAAACUUAUAAACAUUCAAAUAUUAAUAUAAGUACUCCUCCCAUUCUAAAGAUUUUACAAAAUAGCACAUAUUCUAAAAAUCCAUGAAUUUUGACCCUUUUUACAAAAGGCUUGAUAGAUGGAAGGACAAAAAAAAAUAAGAACACUUUUUAUCAUAUUUUCUCGAAUAACUAUUGUAAAUAACAAAACUGAUAAAAAUAUAUACAAAAUAUAAAAGGACAUUUUUCAAAAUAGCAAAGUAAAUUAAAAUAUUUACAAUGAUAGUUAUUAAUAAACUUCUAUCACUGUCUGUUAAUGUUACUAAUAGAAGCAUGUGCAUGACCAUCAGUGUCUACUAUGGAUAGAAUAUGAAAAAUUUGUUACAUGUUAGUAAAUAUUUUAUUAAAUUUGGUAUGUUUGAUAAUUUUCUAAAUAUAAAAAAAAUAAGAUUACUGUAUCAAUAAUCAAUAAGAGUAGUAUAGAACAUUUUUAUUUUAAAAAAAAUGAAAUAAUGGAGAUGUGUAUUAUUGUUCUAAGGUUGAAAAGUUCAAUUUUUUGAUUAGUUACUAGGAAACAGUGUGUACUUAUGUAACACGUGGAAAUGAAAUAAAUGGUUAUUGGGGUGAUGGAUUGAAUGAUGAAAUAAUAGAUAAGGAGUAAAUGAAGGACUUCGUUAAUUUCUUGCAUUUUUGUGAAGGUGGGUUAUUGUAGGAGGACCGCUUACGAGUACUACUCCUACUGCUAAGGUCGGUCCCCAGAUUGAGAUAUCCACACAUAUUAUUGUCAAUCUAUUUUUUGAGUUAUCCAUAACAAGUACAUUUUUCUCAACAACUUCAUUUUCAUCAACGACUUCCUCUCCACUCCAUUUUCUGGAGAACAAUAUUCAUAAGAAAAACAGAAAAGAAAUCAGGAUUUCAAUUACAAAAUGACUGCAAUCUUGAAAGUUGUGUGAAAAGGGGAAGGGGCAGCUGAAAUAACUAACUAAAAGGAGGAAGAAAACUUAGAUUUAGUUUAUUUGUGUGUCUAAUGUUUCUCCAUUUUUUGUUUUGAAUUCAAUUUAUUUUACAAUAUUGUUCGUGUUUUUCUUGAAAAUGGGAGAGAGCUGGAAGAGGAAGAUGAAGA
rnacentral:lncRNA from 1 species